UGGUCGACAAGGUCUUUACAUAAGUGCAAAGCACUCUGACUAUCCAUGUGGAUCAUAGGAGUGUAAGACUUUCCCUCUAACUCAGAGAGUGUUACACCCCGAUCCUAGCGAUAUAAAUUUAAUUUAAAAAUCCCUAAUUUAAGAAAGUUCGAGAGAAAUCGUUACAAGAAAAGAUUAGUAUCAUUAUAAGUAUUAUUAUUAAUAUUUCAUGUUUAGUCAUCACUAAGUUUACGUAUUAUUUAUAGGUAAAUUAUGAGUUAUUAGAAAUGUUUGCAUUAUUAGUUACUAGAUUAAAUUAGAUAAUUUGACAUCUGAAGCACGAUUUAAAGAUAUUAGUCUGAGUUGGUUUAUGCAAUAAGUUGUAGGCUAGCCGUUAGAAUAUACGUUCGAUUAAAUUCCUACUGUUCGAAUAGAAAUCGAGAAUUAGAACCUAAUUAAUUACUUGAAUGCAAGUAGUUUAACUGUGCGGUUGACAGAGUUCAAGGGGUCUUCGAGGCUCGGUUUAAUUAUCGGAUUGGUUAGAAUAAUUAUAGCUGGAGUAAAGCCUUUAUUUUGUUAGUUGGGUGCUUUUAGAAAUCAGGGUGUUCCGGAGAGUAAGCCUCUAAGCCAGGUAGCCUCUUUACAAGCUUCAGCAGCUGCUAUAUACUCAGCUUCAAUGGAAGACAAAGCUACAAUUGGAUGUAACUGAGAUUUCCAAGAAACACAAUUUCCAUACCAGGUAAAGUAAUAGGAGGUGGUAGACUUCCUAUUAUCUUUGUUACUAGCAAAAUUAGAGUCCACAAAUCCAUACAUUAGUCACGAGAUAUAUGAUAAAUGAACACAAGGCAUAGGUUGCAAGUGCCAGAAAUGUAUUUAAGAGCAUAUUUCAUGGCCUUCCAGUGAGCCAUUCCUGGAUUGGAAAUGAAAUGACUCAACACACUAAUGGCAAACACAAGAUCAGGUCUUGUGCAAAGCAUAGAGUACAUAACAGAGCCUACAACAACGUCAUAAGGAACAUCCCUUAUUUCCUCCAGAUUAGAAUUAGAAGAGGGACACUGAUCCUUAGACAACUCAAGAUGAGAACCAAGGGGAGUGUGAGAAGGUUUAGAGUUUCUCAGGGCAAACUUAUCUAACACAUUAAGCACAUAGUCAACUUGGACAGCAGAAUCUUAUUCUUAGCAUGAUUCUUAAUGAUUUUAAUUCCUAGAAUUUUCUAAGCUGGCCCUAAGUCUUUCAUGUCAAAAAGUUUCUUAAGAUCACCUUUCAGAGCACCAAUGGAGGACAUAUCCUUGCAAAUCAGAAGGAUGUCAUCCACAUACAACAGAACAACCAACAUGUUAUUCAUCUUAUUCCUUUUAAGAUAAAUGCAUGUAUCAAAUUUGCUGCGAGUGAAGCCUAGGGAUUUCAUACAAGCAUCAAAUUUGACGUUCCACUGCCUAGGGGAUUGCUUAAGGACGUAGAUAGACCUUUUAAGCAAACAAACAUGAUUAGGUUUUUGUUUGUCUAUGAAUACUUUUGGCUCCCUCAUAUACAUAGUUUCAUUAAGAUCACCUUGUAAGAAAGUGGGUUUUACAUCCAUUUGCUCUAGCUCCCAGUCAUAGACAGCAGUCAUGGCAAGAAGCAACCUUAAGGACUUGUACUUAACAACAUGAGUAAAGAAUUUGUUGUAAUCAAUGCCUUCCUUUUGAGUACAACCCUUAGCAACGAUGCGAGCCUUGUACCUAGGAGGGUCCAGAGGACCAGUACCCUCCUUUAACCUAUACAUCCACUCAUUAUCAAUAAUACAUACCCCUUUAGGUUUAGGCACAAAAUCCCAUGUUUAGUUAGAGAUCAUGGAUUGAAAUUCUUCGUGUAUAGCACAGUUCCAUCGAUCAGCCUUUGAACUAAGCAUAGCUUGCACAAAGGUUUUAGGGCAAUCAGCAUCAAGCAUCUCAUACGCAAGAAUAGAAAAUUCAGCAAUAUUCAAAGUAAACCUACGAUUGGGAAUCCUAGUUCUAGGCAAAUGAUCUCUAACAAGUUGACAAUCAGCUAACUCAUUAGGAGAAGAGCUACUCGAAUGAGUGUUCAUAAAAGAGUUUACCGAAGAAGUAGGGGGAUUUCCAAUGGGAGAAGAGUUGGAGGAAGUUGACUCUUCCUCUCUUAUCAGUGUAGGUUUGCUUACCUCUCCACCUAAUUGAUGGGGUUGCACUGACAGCAGAGGACUGGCAUGAGAGCUUGAAGUAUCUUGAGUCAAGGACUCAAGCUGCCCUUCUAGAGGGAUGGAGUGGCCAAGUUCAUCAUGACCAAUGUCAAAUUCUCAGUCGAUGUCAUCCUGUCUUGGUUCAGAAACGUAGAAAUCAACUGCAUGGGUUAGAUUUGUAUCUUCUGUUUCAGAACUACCCGCAAACUCAACAGAGGGAGUUAGUUUAUCCUUAAAAUGAAACUCAGUUUCAUUAAAUGUAACAUUACGAGAGAUUAUGACUUUGUAACCUCUAGGCUGAACAAGUAACAACUUGUAGACUUUAACUCCCUCAAGAUAUCCUAGCAUAACACAUUUAUGUGCUUUAGGAUUUAAUUUCCCUUGGGAAAGUUGGGAAUAGGCGGUGCACCCAAAAUGCCUGAGAUGGGAAAUAUUAGGCUUACUUCCAGUCCACAUCUCUUGGGGGGUUUUAAAAUUGAUGGCGGAGGAAGGAGUUCUGUUUAUGAGGUAAGCGGUUGUAACAAACGCUUCUCCCCACAGUGACGGUCUCAAAGCUGCACUUAUCAGCAUGAACCUAGCCUUUUCCACAACGGUUCUGUUCAUCCUUUCAGCCGUACCAUUCUGCUGAGGAGUACCAGAAACCGUAAGAUAUCUCUUGACACCAUUAGACUGAAAAAAGGUGUUCAAUUCCUUGUUGCGGAAUUCAAGGUCGUUAUCAAUCCUUAAGCAUUUAAGGGUUGAGUUAACUUGGUUCUCAACUAACGAUUUCCAAGCCUUGAAUGAUUCAAAAGCUUCAUCCUUAGUUUUGAGCAGGUUAACCUAGACUUCCCUAGAGUAGUGGUCUAUAAGAGACAAAAAAUAUUUUCUACCUCCUAUAGUAUGAACCUAAGCAGGGACCCAUAGAUCAGUAUGAACAUACUCAAGAACACCUUUGGUAGUAAAUGAUGAUUUUCCGAAAGUAUGGCGCGAUUUUUUUCCAAAAAUGAAAUCUUCACAAAAUUUUAAAUCGCUAGGGUGCUUUUAUGGAAGACCGCUCUUAAACAGGUGAACUAGACUAUGGUAACCGAUAUGGAAAAGUCUGUUGUGCCACAGAUUGGUGUAUAUCCGAUCUCCAUGGUUAGUGACCUUAUUAACAACAUUAAACUCAGGAGACCCUACAACACAGUACAUGUCGCACCUUUUGAUGUUACGAAUGACAACCUUGUCAUUCUUAACUAUGUCUUUGAUGCCAUUGUUAGUCACUAUACGAAAUCCUAGGUCAUCAAACAUAGAUUCAGAUAGAAGGUUCCUUCUUAAGUUAGGGACCCAUCUAACAUUAUUAAUGAUUCUGAUAUGGCCAUCAAACAUCUUCAUAGGAACAGGGGCAAUGCCCUUGAUCUUAAGAGUGGUGUGAUCUCCCAACAUGACUUCCCCACUUUCAUAUUUAGUCAGUUUUCUAAAUAGGCCCGAUGAGGGAGUAACAUGUAUUUUACAGCCGGAGUCCAGAAUCCAGCCAACAUAAUUUCGGUGGCAUCAACAACCAGAACUUUAUGUUGCUCAGAACAAGAUUCCCACAAGUUUGAGGAACCAUGUUUCUCUUUUCCCUUAUUUUUCUCAUCCUUAACACUCUUAUUGCAAUCUUUUGCAUAGUGGCCUUCUUUAUUGCUGUAAAAACAGACCACCUUAGACUUAGAGUUAAACCAGAACUAGCAUCGUUGCCAGUUUGGUUGGAAUCCUUUUUAGACUUUUAAAGUUUAUUUUUACCCUUACUCUUAGCCAUUAGAACUUCAGAUUUAGCUUCUGACUUAACCUCAAUUUUCCUUUGUUUUUAGGCUUAAAACCCUUAAGGGCUUCCUCCUUUUCGAGAACAACUUGAGUUAUCUUUCACGACUAUACAAAAUCACAUCUUUUAGAUUAUCAAAUUGAGAUGGCAUGGAGUUAAGAAGUAAAAUAGCUUGGUGACUAUCAUCAAUUUUAUCACCACAUCUCUCUAGGUCUUGGGUUAUUUUCAGAAAAGCAUCAAAGUUUUCAUGCACAGUCAAAGAAGUAUCCAUUUUGUAUGUAAACAGUUUGCUAAGCAGGGUUACUCUGCUAGACAAUGAUUUAGACUAAAAAUGGCUUCCAGACAUUCCCAUAGAGGCUUAGGAUAAAAAAACUUACCACUUGACGAACCACGUCGUCAGCAAGGCAAAUCAUGAUCUCGGAGUGAGUUAUCUGACUCAGCUAAGCCUUAUGAAGAUCACUAGUGUUAGCAGGCCAGACUUCUGUAAGGGCUCCGUAACACUUCUCUUUGGUCAAGAUGGCUCGCAUCUUGAUCUUCCAGAUUGCAAAAUUGGUGCUGUCAUCGAAUGGUUUCAAGCGUAUUCCCUCCGACAUGAUGUUCCUCAACAAAACAGAUUAAAGGAAAAACAAGGGGUCAUGGAAUUGCGUUCACACAGAGAACCCAAAAGAAACUAUGCAAGACAACAGUAACAAGCGACCAUGGAUUGCACCAAGAACGAACGCAACAAAGAUAUUAGAGAACCAUACUCUAAUACCACAAUGAAGUUUAACGUCUAGGCCAUAAUCAAGAUCUUAAACUAAUUACAGAGACGAAAAAAACAUUCGAGAAACCCUAAUCAGAAGCAAGAAAGUAAAAGGAACGAGACACGCCAGUUGUUCACAGAGUUCAGUUUUAUCCUACUCCGUGGAGCCUCAUGAGCGGGGAGACUCAACCCAAUAUCCACUAGUGACGACGAGCGACUUACAAGGAAAUGGUAACAACAGAAACCCAGAUCUGUACUUCAAGAACAAGAUCAAUUCAUCUUAACAACUACAGCCACUGAGAUGAUUUACAGCAAAGGGGUUGAAGCAACAAUAGAAGUUUCUUGGGGAAUCGGCGUCAGAUGAUGAACCCUAGGACCAGGAGCCUUCUAAUCUUAUUUUUUGAGUGAGUUUGGGUGAAAGAGAUUGACAGCCAAAUUGGGGAAGAAGAAGGUGAUUUUAUGCUCUUCUUCUUUUAAUUCGGAACGGUGCGUUCAAAUGGCACGGUCAACUCUUCAAGCGGGUAGGUCUGACCCAACAAGGCUCACGAGAAGAGAAGGCCCAGAGUUCUCGAAUGGCUUAAGUAACAACAAAUGUGAUACAUUUAUCAUUGCAUCGUAGAUUUCCCCACCACCAAUCCUUGAAAGGAUUAUUGAAAAACUCUGUCCACUCAUUUGGAGUCAAGAUCGUCUUCCAACAAGCAACAGCCACAAGGCAGUCGUGGAGGAUGUGGAGAGGCAUCUUUUGUAUUCCCUAACGUCGAUGACAAUCCCAAUUCGGCGCUAGGUGACGCUGUUACCUCUCGCUAUUACACAUUAUCCAAUUAUAGCCCACAAGCCACAGGAAGUGCCUAACACGAUUUGGACCCUACCAUGUCCAAAUCGACUUCCACCUCUGACGUUCAUUCACUGAUGCCACGGCUACUCCUGCAAAAAGAAGAUACCCAGAUUUCACAGAGUACACGCGUUUAGUCUCCAGGCCCCAUGUCGGGGAGUCUGGACCCGAGCCAUCCAUUGGUGGAGUCAUUCCGGCCACCCAUUCCACCCAGGUUGCCGAUAAUUUCUCCGAAAGUCAUGAGAAAUCCCAUUGACCCGACGGUGUAAUGAAAUCUGCAACAUGAGCCUCGAGAUCUACAUUAGUAAGAUCUCCUCCACACUCCGCCAACACCCCGAUAUCAUCGAGCCAUUGAUCGGUCCAGAACUUCGUACUCCUACCGUCUCGAAUCCCCCCAUUGUAAACCAUGAUUGAGUGUAGGCUACACAUCUCGGAUACCACGCCAAAGGGUCGACCACAUUUUGGUAGCACGAGGCACCAAACGACCGUAAAAAUACCUCAAAUAUUUGGUAAGCAAAACAUCUGCCCAAAACUCCUUAUGCCGCUUCAAGAAGCCCCAAGCAAGCUUAAGAGUAAAAGCUUGAUUCAUGCUGCUAGCGCUUUAUAGACCGAUCCCACCCAACUCUUUGGGCUUACAGAUGAUUUCCCAAUUAACAAGAUGAACCACCGGAACCUGCCUCCGAUCCCCAAAUGAAGCCUCUAAUACAUGUACCUAUGUCCUUGCACAUCGUAUCAGGCAAGAUGGAAGUUUACAUAGAGAAGGACAAAAUGGCACUAAGCACUGACAUCGGCAUAGUAACUCUGCCAGCGAGUGAAAGGAAGACCGUCUCCACCCUACAAGCUUCGUGUCUAGGUGCUCCAAAAUAUACUUAUAAUGAGCAACAGUAGAUCGACCAUGAAGAACAUGGAUACCUAAGUACCUGCCAAGGUUGAGGGUGAUCGGCAUACCCAAGAUCCCUCUAAUAUCACCUUGUCUACCUGAUCCCUCAUUCUUGGAGGAAAAACACCUUAGACUUCUCUUUACUGACACAGAGACCUGACAAGGAAGCAAACUCAUCAAAGCAUUGGGGGAUAACAAGAGCCUAAUUGGUGGAUGCUUCUCCAAAGAGAAUUUGAUCAUCCGUAAAAAAGAUAUGGGAGAGUUUUGUGCUUGCCUAAGCUAACGUAAUCGACUUCCAAGCAGACAUAUCGAUGAGAUAUUGGAUUACACCACUUAACCUUUCUUUGGUUCACCAGACCGCUAAUUUUGAAUUAGUACUCGCUGCCAAAUACGUUAAAGAUCACUAAACUAUUUAAAUAUCAUCCUACUAAUUUGCUAAAAAAUUUUCCACCAAAUACCAUUGUUCUCGUUUUAAUGCUCACCACAUAUCACUAGGAAACAUUCAUCAUUAAUUUUAAAAUUUAUUUAAUUAUCAAAGGUGAGUGGAGAAAACGUAACAUAAUUAUAGUUAAUUGGGAGAGAGUUAUCAUAGAGUACAAGUACAGUUGAACUCAUACAUUAAGAUUCUUCUUCAAUUGAGAUAAGGUAAAGUUGCUCACCAACGACAUUUCUUCUAGAUUGUUGGUUUCGGUAAAAUGGAUAGAGACUAGAUAGUAAGGUUGAACACAUUUAUUGGAAAGACAACAGAGUUACAGAUUACCUUGUAGCUUCGGAAAUACUCAACCUAUUGAUGUUCAUAUUAUUUUCAAUUUUAAUUUUAUGUUAUCUUAUCUUUGAUGUAUACCUUCUUAAUAUUUUUCGGAUUAUAAAAACAAUGAAGUUUAUAAUAAAAAAUAAUAAAGGAGUUAAAUAAAAUAAUAAACGGUAGAGUUUUUGUUUGACAUGUUGCAAAUCCUAUCGCAUUUUUCACAAAAUUUGACACGUGUCAUAUGGAAUUUCAUGUUCUUCUAAUUUUUUGACCAUUUAGCUGAAGUUGCAUGAAGCGUAAAAACGCUCUAGAAAUCUCCAUCAAUUCCUUCAUAGUCGGGUUCCGUCCUGCUUCUGCAUUACUCAAGCCGGAAACUUUCAAUCAAGCAAGCAAGCGGUUAAUCACAAAGAAUGCGUACAAGGCUCGCCAACUCCUUCUUUGCCCACCACAAUGGCCCCUCCAUUGCUCUUUUCCCCCCUCCAUUUGAGCAAAAAUAUCCUCCCAAGCUGUUCAUAACUUGGGAAAGUGACACGAUCACACAGACCCACAACGCCACGUGUACACUAGAUGAGGUUUGCUUUAACGUGUGGCCAUCACAGUCCUCUUUGUCUUCCUCCUCACCACCUCCAUCUAGAUUCCAAACUCUUCACAGAUAUUUUUUCUUUCCUUCUACUUGCUCCCUUCCUCAAAAAACAGAACCAAACAUUUCAUAUUUUCAAAAUGGAUAAAUAGUAGUCCACCUAAACACCGUCUACUACUCACCAAGCUUAUCAGGAUAUAGUAGCGAAUUGUGAUUAAGGAAGCAAAUUUUUAACUUUUGAUACCAUAUGCGAUCAGGGUUUGGGGGUUUCUAAUGGCUACUGUUGCAAUUGCAAAGUUUCAAGUCUACCCUGCUGAUAUUUCCACUUGUGGCGGACGGCGGAGGAUAGCAAGCAGUGGGUUCUUCUUGAGGGCACCACCGGUAGGGUUUUUUAAGGGAAGUUGCGGACUGUCCUCCUCUCAGCAGUGUAGGGCUUUCAGGUCUGAAGAUGGUGAAUGUAAAGGAGAAGAUGUAGAAAAGGAAAGGAAAGCUGAGUUAAUGAAGAAAAAUGAAGAUGGGUUAUGGGCACCUGGAAUUGGUAGGUUGAAAUUGCUAUCCAAGGAGGAGUACACUAGGGGAGUUGCUAAAGUGGAGGAACUCUUCUCUUCGGUGAGUAGUUUAAUUAAGUUUAAAUAAAAAAGGAGUGUAGCUUUAUGAUUGCAGCAGGGUUUGGAUUCACUCUGAACCAGCAAAACCCUUAUUUUCAUUGCUUACUUAAGUCUCUUUUUGAUAAGAUUGGUAAAUUGAAUUCUGUGUCUUGUGAAUCAGGUGGCCAUCCACAUUGGAAGAUACAUUGUGACCAUGAUGAGCACUGGAGUUGUACUUGCUACUGGUUUUCAGUUGUCAGGUUAGUUCAAUUCAAGAUUUGAGUCACCUUUCUGGCUUAGGAUGAUGUGCAAUGAUACCUGAGUGAGUAUUCAAUUGCCUGAUGCAAAUUCAUGAUGUAGGUGGAGAUGGUCAGAUGAAUGAUCUUAUCUGGUAUAGCUGGCUUGGAGGAAUCAUAAUAGGCACAAUGAUAGGUGCUAACAUGGUUUUGGAUGAACAUUGUCGAGCCGGCCCUCGUAAUGUUGUCAUAACUGGAAGGUAUGUCUGCUCUAUACUAGGAUUCCAGAAACAUGGUGUAAGAUGAGCCUUGUUCUAACUAUGUUGAAACGUAAUAUGGUAUAUAUAGCACGCGAGGAUUGGGAAAAGCACUUGCCAGGGAAUUUCUUCUUUCCGGGGAUCAUGUGGUAGUUGCAUCACGCAGGUUUGUCUCCAUGGAUACAUAUAUAUGUCCAGUAUAUCUAGUGAAUCUUGCUUUUUUCAGUAGUAGUAACAGUGUCCAGUUUGUGCUUGCAAAAACAGCCAGGAGUCUGUGGAUAUGACGUUGAAGGAGCUCGAGGAGAACAUCAAAGAAGGAAUGGCAUCCGCAGAAGGCUCGUCCAAGCAACAUCUGGGUCAUGCAAGAGUAGUUGGUAUAGCUUGUGAUGUUUGUGAUCCGUCUGAUGUGAAGAAACUCGCUGAUUUCGCGGUCAAGGAAUUCGGGUCGAUUAACUUAUGGGUGAGUGCUUUCGUUUCAUCACUUCGCUUAUGGCUAUAUCUUCUGCUAGAUUCGUGAUUAGAGACUACUAGUCAUGCCUUCCUCUUGCUUAUACUUGUGUCAACUGAAUGCUUUUCAGAUAAACAAUGCUGGGACAAAUAAAGGUUUCAGACCUUUGCUGCAGUUCAGUGAUGAAGACAUAACUCAGGUACUGUUCAGAACUUCUGCCGCACACCUCUGUUCACUUCUAUCAAAAUUCAUUUCAGGCUUUGAAAUUGAUCAUAUACAUGUCAUUCUCUUCUUUAACUGUCAUCAAUGUUAUUAUGGUUAGAUUGUGUCGACGAAUUUGGUCGGAUCAAUUCUCUGCACCCGAGAAGCUAUGCGAGUGAUGGAAAACCAACCUAAGGGGGGUCACAUUUUCAAUAUGGAUGGUGCAGGCUCUGGUGGCUCAAGUACUCCUCUUACAGCAGUGUAAGUAUUGCUAUUACUCUGUCGAAAUAUAACUAUACAUUUAAACUAUGCCUCUGUAUGUUAAAGUAGUGCUCACCAAUUCGUUCAUUUGUGGGAAUGUGUAGCUACGGAGCAACAAAGUGUGGUCUUAGACAGCUUCAAACUUCACUUCUGAAGGAGAGUAAGAAGUCUAAGGUUGGAGUACAUACAGCAUCACCAGGCAUGGUCCUUACAGAAUUGCUUUUGAGGUACUAACCUGGAACAUUUCCAACUUCUCUUUUAUAUGGCUAUUCAACCAUUCUUUGUUGUAUCCUUACGAGCACCACUAUUGUCAUCACCAGUGGAUCGACGCUUAAAAACAAGCAGAUGUUUAACAUAAUCUGCGAGCUCCCGGAGACUGUUGCGAGGACCUUAGUUCCGCGAAUGAGGGUCGUGAAAGGCUCAGGGAAGGCAAUCAAUUACUUAACUCCUCCAAGAAUCUUACUUGCUUUAGUCACAGCUUGGUUGCGUCGUGGUCGGUGGUUCGAUGACCAGGUAAAUUUGUGAUGAUCAUUUAACCACUCUUGCACCACACCAUUUGUCGUUCACUUGUUUUGCGACAUUAAACUCUUGUCUUUUGACUGGUAUGUUAUAUCAUGCAGGGAAGAGCAUUGUAUGCUGCGGAGGCAGACCGGCUACGAAACUGGGCUGAGAAUCGAGCUCGGUUUUCGUUCACGGAUGCAAUGGAGAUGUACACCGAGAACACAUGGGUAUCCGUAUUUUCGCUCUCGGUCGUAUGUGCCUUCAUAAUCCUAUCUAGCACCGCCAGUGGCGCAUCUCCUGGCACCUAAAGCAAACACAGAUUCAUCAUCACUAGAAGAAAGAUAGAUACAUGCCAAAAAUUUUGGUUUAAGUUGAACAUGCUAAAAGAUUUAGGCCAUUCCCCCUUUUUUGUAUAAAAGUUUUUAGCCAUUCAUGAAAAGGGUCAACAGUCAGGGUGCUGCCGGAGCUGGUGAUUGUCGCCGUCUUUAUUGUAUGCCAAGUCCUGUAAAUGUGAAUUCAAGUCUUUCAGGCAAAGAUUCUGCUUUGUGUUAAUGUGUUGCUAGCUGAUCCUAUCUGUAUGCCAAGUCCUGUAAAUGUGUUGCUAGUCUUUCAUAACACCUAUCGAUCCAUAUACCGAACUCUUAAUGGUCUUCCACCGAUACCUUCAGUAUAUUUGCGACCACAUCGACAACAGUCUCGAAAUCCAUGUCGUCCAUGAUCCAUCCCAUGCCAACCACCCAUUGCAAAGCCACGAUUUUUCGACAUGUUAUGUGAAAUGACGACGUUGAAAGUUCGCCCAUGUGGCAUUUCACAUCAGCAGCAGAUAGUGAGUACUGAGUAGGGGAAGUCCGAUCUAUUUAAGUCAUCUUUGUAACACUCAGUCCGAUCUAUUCCUUCUCUUUUUAUCUUUCUUAUCCACUUCAUUAUAAUCCCUCAUGUAUAAGAAGUUAUUCAAUUACACUUUGUAUAUAUGAUCUGUUGAACAAAUCAAUAAACCAUCAAUCACUUUUCCCUCCCUACAGAUCUGAAUUGGAGGAGAUUGUGAUUGAUGGGCUUCUAUGUCGAGAUUCUCCCUCAUCACCGAGAUGGGCUUCCCUUGUGAUUUACAGAAAUGUGAAAUUAAUGGCGCAGUCGCUUGUCGAUGGCAGGCUGAGUUCCGCUUCUCUAACCUUGAUUCCUUUGGUGGAUCACCGGAACAAAUGUUUGUCAGUGAAAGUGAAAUGAGAAGGUUCUUCGCCAGAUUUCCUCAGUUUCAAACCGUUCACAUUAACGUUUUUGGUAUAAAUGAGGUACACACAUAUUGGGAUUAGAUUUCUGUGUAUACAUAUCUCUAUAUCUGUUGUGCAUGUAUAAUUCUGUCUUUCCCUUAUUGUCUUUGCACACAAGAUUACAUUUGAAGAGGAACCGGUUGCUCAUCCGACUACUCCGCCACCCACCAUCAACCACUUGAAAUUGCUCACAGAUAUGUCGUUAGAAUGUGAUCAAGAAGCUCUUUUGAAAGCCGCGUUCCGGAUAUCACGUCCCAAGUUCUUUACAGUGACUCACGAGGCUUCAAAUUCAAACCAGUUCUUCAAUACCCUUCUGGAUCUGAUGUCACAAUACUCUUCCGGGAAACAAGGGUCCGGCGAACAUGGUAUAUGGUACGAUCAGGUGAAAAAUGUGAGAAUAGUGAUGGGAGAUGUCGAUGAGAUGGAAGAAGGAUGGGAGAUGAUGGAUAUUUCAAAGGAUAUGGCUGCAUUACUUGGCACCAAGAAACGAGUAUGCUUCCUCUUAACUUGGCACUAACUGGUUCCAUAAUGUCGCUGCUGCAACUUUUUGACUUGGUGGUGCUUCCAUAAUGUUUCCUGUGAUUUUGCUCACUGGCGAAAUUUGUUUUGGUGGUAUCUUAGCCGAUAUUUCUCUCCGGUUUGUUUGAUCGACCACUUUCUUUGGAGCCGACUUUGUGCGAGACAUCUUUGUCAGACUAGCUUGCUUAAAUAUGACCUAUGGGGUUUGUUUAGUCCUUAUCUUAUGUCGAGUUUUUGUAUGUAUGAACUCACUGCACUGGUGUUUGAUAUCAAAUGAGAAUCCAUCAUUCGCUUCCAGUCUUGCAGAAAAAAGUGUUACAAACAUGAUUGAUCAGAAAGAAGUAGUGAGAUUUCAUUACAGAAACAAAAUACCGAAAGGAUAAAGUCUUAUUGGUGGCUGCUGCAGACAUUUGUGUCUGCUACUAAGUGUGUUAUGAUACAUUUAACACCACUUGAACUAGAACCCUUUGUAUUAGUAGUGAAGGAUUGGACAUCCUUUAUCACGUCAUUGCAAGAUGAAGACACGUUUUAGUUGGAUUGAGCAUGAGUUAGACAACAUUAAGAGUUAGAAAUCCAUCAUUAUCACCUGGUGAAACCCCCAGUUGGGGUGGUGGUUUGCUUAGCAGUUAGCAAAGGUAUAACCGUAAUGUGGAGGACAUUCGGCGUGACAUGAGUAUGGUGAUGAGAGACAAUAACAGUGUGGUAGUGAUAGCUGUCAAAGCCAUAGAGGAGAUUCCCAUGAAAUUUUCCACCUAACAAACAUAAUCUAAUAGCAGUAUUCCAGUUGAAGCAACAAAAAAGCUCCUUGUUCAAAAUGAAGUGGCAUGGCAUCAUGUACUGUGAUGAAAGAAAGGGGAAAACAAAACAUAAAACAGCGUGCGCAUCCAGGGAAUCGAACCCUGGUCAGUACCGUGGGAGGGUACUAUGAUACCACUACACCAGAUGCGCCAUCAUGGCCAGAGUUAGCUUCUGAAAGUUUACAUAAUUACAUGGCCUUAAUUAUGCUUAUUUGAGUUGAAUGGAACAUUAUAAGCAACCACCUGUGAAAUAUACAACGUAAGAAGAGAAUGUUAAAUCAUGAUGAGAAGAAGUCCGAACACAAAUUAUAUUCCACCAACAAACCAACCCCAAGACAGACAAGAUAUUAUCUAUAAUAAUUAAUAAGUUAAGGAAAGAAGUCGAAAUCAGCAUGUGGUGUGGGUUGGGUUGCUGUCCAGCUGUUUUUGUGUCGCAACACAACUGCCCUUCCAAGUAACGGUCACAACAAUCAACAAUGCUUUCUUUCACUAAUUAACUCAACUUCCAUUUCUUUAUUAUUCAUCCUCAACAAUCCCCCACCUAACCUUCUAUUGCUACACCUAGUUUUUUUUCUCCGCGAAGUAAUGUAGUUAAUUAUGUUGUGUUGUUGGAUUAAAGAUUUGAAAAUAUUAUGUUCGAAUUUAAAAGUUAUUAUUUGUUAAACUUAUAAGCUGAUGUAGGUUUUAUAUAUUAUUCCCUAUUUGAAACUACAAAUUCGAAAAUUGUGUAAUGAGAAUGAGUAAUCACUAUAUCCUUUCCAGAUCCAUGGGGUUUGAACGGGUUUGGGUGGAUUUCGGCUCGGGUUGAGCGUUUUUUGGACCAAAAACCUAGUAAAACUCGCGGGUCGUCUUGUUUCAGUUUUAUGGACUUCCCAACCUGCCUUGCUUGGCGGGUGACGGUUUUAGCGGGCUGACCGGCGGGGCCGGGUCUGAUAACCAUGUUCACUCAUAAGUAAGUUUCCGUCGUUCGAUAUAUCGACGUGUUUCCAAUGACUUUUUGACGAGGUGACCAAAUAACUAGUUUCGUUAAAUAAUUAGUUAUACAACAAGAAUAUUUUAAGCGACGGAACAAUGUGGACUUUUCACCAUAUGAGAGGCCGGUAUAUUUUCACCUUGAGAAACUACUACCCUUAGUAGCUACUCGCUUCGAGAACAAGGUUCACGACCACAUAAAAAAUGAAUGAUUGGAUGAUAGUUUGAUGGCAAUGUGUUGAGAAAAAUGUCAUUAGUAGUUAUAACAAACAAUGUAUUGUUAAUAGAUGAGAACUUGUUGUGAAAUUUGAGAUUUUUUUAAAAUUUACUUUAAACCCACAUGAACUUGGCUAGCGAGUUAAGCUAAAUGUUGUUAUCAAUACGUAUAACAUCUCAACAUAUACAUUAAUUUUUGAACUGUCGUUGGCUUGUUGUCAAGCAGGAUGCCAACUUAGACCAUCGCCUAGAAUUUUCUGAUUCAAAAACGAUAAAUUUUUAUAUAAAAUUUUUGAAAUUAAAGUUUAUAUAGGAUUUUUAUAUGAGUUAAAUCUUUUAAACUUGAAAUAAUGAAAUCUCACCCAACGUCUUGGAAACAUAUAUCAGCUGAAUCCUCCGCUACUUGCCUUUCACGACUACCAAGCUAUGAAUUCAACAACAUAUAUUACUUUGUAACAUUAGUUUGGUGUCAGCUAUAUCAUAAUAUUCCCUAUUGUAAAUGCUGAUUACUCACUGCACGGUCACUAAAUUAUAAUUGGAUUAUAUACACAGACAGAAUUAGCUAACUGUCUAAUUGGGCAAGGAGCCGAUAAUAAUGAAUCUAGUUGACGGGGGGGUUUGCAGAAAGACCAUAUCAUUAAUUUUAAUUGAAAUAUACAAGAAAGACCAUAUCAUUAAUUUACACACGGUUACAGCUCUAAUCUUAUGACCUAUGGCUCGUGUAAUUAUGACUUCUCCUUACUCUUAACGUGAAAUAGCCAAAUGGACCGUCUAAUCCCUGUUAAAUUAUCAAUCCCCAGACAGCUCACCUAUCAGUUCUCAUUUAUCAAUUAAGAAAAUUUUGCCUUGAUUUUUAAUUAAUUCAUCCAUCCAUCCAGCCUAUCAAAUUAAUAUUAAUUAAUAAAUACAAGUCUACCCUAACAGCAACUGCCAGGUAGGUUUUUUGACGGGUUAAAAAUAUUGGUGAUCACUCAAGUUUAGAGUAGGUUAUAUUUUGAUUAUUUCAUUUGUUUUUAACAAAUUCAUGACUCAAGUUUUAGGUUCAUAACGAAACGGUCAUUUUGUUUAUUUAUGUUUGAAAGUUUGUCAAAUUUUUUUGAUGUGAAUGGACAUAAUGAACAUCUCAUUACUCUUAUUUGAACCUAAAGUAAAAAGUUUGUUAACAAUAAAAUUAUGUGACCACAUUACUCACCCUAAUUUAAAUGGUUAAGAAUGUUUUUAACUCAUAUUUUGAUCACCGCGCUCCAAACUUGAGUAAUGGAUUUGUUAAAAAGUAAUAUUAUGUGACCGAAAUAUAACUCACCCUAACUUGAGUGACCGUUGUAUGCUUUUAAUACAUAUUUUGACCACCGCGCUCCAAAUUGAAAAGAAAACGGGUAGGUCGUCGAAGUCCGAGCUGGUUCCGGAUUCCGCCGAACUAAAACGCGGCUCCGUGGGCCAUCCGUGUGGGUCCCAGCUUCUCUCCCCCCGUUUGUCGCAAGCGCUGAUUACACGCCGUCGAUUGGACAAAUCAAGUUAGAAAUAAAUUCAGUAAAAAGAAAAACUAAAUAAUAAAUAAAAUUCCUCCUUUAUUCUUUUAAAGUAGUAAUAAUAAUAAUAAUAUUAAAACGGUUGUAGUGCUGCAAACAACAGCUGCUGCUGUUGCCGCUUUCAUCCUCAUCCUUCUCCUUUUUUUCCUUCAUCCCCACUACUUGCGAAUGAACACAUUCGGUCCCCAUUGACAUUCAUUCCCUCACAAAUAUCUCUCCUCCUUUUUCACAUUUCUAAAAUUCUCACCUGAGCUUUUAAACAAGCUAGUCGGAUACAAUGUCAGCUCCGGCACCCACCAAUUCCACCGCUCCUCCUCCGGCCACACCCUCCGCGCCUCCUCCGGCCANNNNNNNNNNNNNNNNNNNNNNNNNNNNCCCCCCCCCGCCCCCCCUCCUCCUUCCCCCCCGCCCCCCGCUUCAUCUCCUCCCCCUCCCUCAUCCACUCCUUCACCUCCUUCAUCCUCGCCGCCGACUCCUCCUUCCAACACUCCAUCGCCUCCUUCAUCAGUACCCCCUCCGUCCACGCCGAAUCCAGUAACUCCGUCCCCUCCCGGGGGUGGUGGGAAUCGCAGCCCUCCGUCUUCUACCAGAUCUCCGCCGUCUUCCUCCGGUGGUUCUCCGCCGAACUCUUCUUCUCCUUCGUCGUCUUCGAGUCUAUCAACUGGAGUGGUGGGUGGGGUUGCGCUCGGGGGGGGGGGGGGUUUUUUUNNNNNNNNNNNNNNNNNNNNNNNNNNNNNNNNNNNNNNNNNNNNNNNNNNNNNNNNNNNNNNNNNNNNNNNNNNNNNNNNNACUACGCCCCUCCUCCUCCUCGCGGCUCUAAAGGUUCGAUCAAUUCCAGAGUCUGUUGUUUAGGUUAGGUCUAGAUUUUGAGUUUAGUUGAAUUUGAAUUUAAGAUUCAUUUUCACUAUACGGACAAAGAAUUAUGCAUUUCCUCAUACGAACUUCAUCUUCUUUUGACUUGGUCCCACCUAAUUGGAUCUGCUGCUGAAAAUUGGAGUCUUAGGAUUCAGAAUCUCUGUGUUGAAUUAAUUGAAUGAUUGUGGUGGAUUGUUGCAGUUGAUCCAUACGCUGUUCAACAACAGCAGCAUUGGCAACAAGUUGCUCCUCCGCCACCGGAUCGUAUGGUGGCAAAGCCGCCGCCGCAGUCUCCACCGGAUUCAAUGCCUGCGCCACCACCACCUCCUCCGGCUUACAUGAGCAGCAGUGGGGCAUCGAACUAUUCAGGGACUGAAACCCCGCUCCCACCACCUUCUCCGGGAAUUGGGAUGAGUUUCUCCAAGAGCACAUUUACCUACGAUGAGCUAGCAAGGGCAACCGAUGGCUUCUCUGAUGCUAACCUUCUUGGACAAGGUGGGUUUGGGUAUGUUCAUAAAGGAGUACUUCCCAAUGGUAAGGAAGUAGCCAUUAAGCAGCUGAAAGCAGGGAGUGGGCAAGGGGAGCGAGAGUUCCAGGCGGAGGUGGAGAUCAUCAGCCGUGUUCAUCAUAAACAUCUUGUUUCGUUGGUUGGUUACUGCAUCACAGGCUCGCAAAGAUUGCUUGUUUAUGAGUUUGUAACUAACAACACCUUGGAGUUUCAUUUGCAUGGUAUGUCCCAAAUCUGUAUAUUGAAUACGAUUGUGGUUCAUCAUUUGUUUAUUGUGACAUGUUUCUGAUUAAGGAAGUCUCUGUUGCAGGCAAAGGUCGACCGACUAUGGAAUGGCCUGCAAGGUUGAGAAUUGCAUUGGGCUCUGCAAAAGGCCUUGCAUAUCUCCAUGAAGAUUGUGAGUGGCAAUUACUUUAUGCUUGUUGAAAAUGAGAAUUCAUUAUGUUUGGCUUUCUUGCCCGGUAAAUUGACAAUUUGGGGCUCUGUUUUUCCGUUGUAUUCAGGUCAUCCUAAGAUCAUUCAUCGAGACAUCAAGUCAGCAAAUAUACUUCUUGAUUUCAAGUUCGAGGCCAAGGUACUGAUUGCAGCUCUCAGUCUUAUCCUACUAGAUCUGUGUAGUUCGAUUUCUCAAUGAACAUUGUAAGUUUAGUGGCUAAAACUUGUUCAAUGUGUUAAUCCUCAGGUUGCUGAUUUUGGAUUAGCUAAGUUCACCUCUGAUCUAAACACUCAUGUCUCCACCAGGGUGAUGGGAACUUUUGGGUAAGGUCAACUGGUUCCUUUGUCAAUUUGUAGAUGAUCAGUUUCAAGUGUAGAUUUUAGAGUAAUAAGCUCUUCCGGACUGUGUUCUGCUCAUGUAGAUACUUGGCUCCCGAGUAUGCUUCUAGCGGAAAGCUCAGUGACAAAUCAGACGUCUUCUCCUUUGGGGUAAUGCUUUUAGAGCUUAUUACAGGUCGCCGCCCUGUUGACACAAAUCACACUUACAUGGAUGACAGUCUGGUUGACUGGGUAAGUCGCACACUGUUUGCUUACUCUACACGCUUCAUUUGCUUGAUCAUCAAGUAAAGUUCUCAAAAACUGAAAAGCUAAACUAGUUCCAUUGUUUAAUCCUGUAGGCAAGGCCUGUUCUUUCACGGGCUCUAGAGGAUGGAAACUAUGAUGCUUUGGUGGAUCGAAAACUCCAAAACAACUACGAUCACAACGAGAUGGCUCGAAUGGUCGCAUGUGCAGCUGCCUGUGUCCGCCAUUCGGCAAGACGCCGGCCACGUAUGAGCCAAGUAGUCCGAGCUCUGGAAGGAGAUGUGUCCCUAGCAGACCUGAAUGAAGGUAUAAAACCAGGGCACAGCCGAAUGUACGGUUCGUACGGAGAAAGCUCGGACUAUGACACGAGCCAAUACAAUGAUGACAUGAAGAAGUUCAGAAAGAUGGCCCUUGGUAGCCAAGAGUAUGGCGGAGGGAGCGAGUACAGCGGUCCUCCGACGAGUGAUUAUGGUCUGUAUCCUUCGGGAUCAAGCAGUGAAGGGCAGACGACAAGGGAAAUAGAAAUGAGAAAGGUGAAGAGGAAUAGCCAAGGUUUCAGUGGAAGCACUUAGAGAAGAGCCUUGAAAUUUUUUUCUUAUUUUUUUUAGUUUGAAUGAAAUUUUCUAUUGACAUUUGAUUUCUCAGGAUGGCAUGUGAGAAAAAGUUACAAAUAUUCUUGUCCUAAAUUUUUUUUAAUCAGAGAUUUCUUAUCUAUAUAUUCCCACAGAUGUAUUUAAUAGCUGGAAAAGGGCAACUGUUGACAGAGUAGGCUUUUGUUUUGAUUCUUUGAUUCGUUAUGGUGCUUUAAUUGAAAAAUGUGUAUAACACAUGCAAAGUAUUUGGUCUGUUUCUAUUUUUCUAUCUGUUGGUAAAUGGUAAGGCUUCAAAGUCAGAAGAGAAGGCUAAUCCUCAAGUUGAAAAUCUAAGUACAGACUUUCUCAUUUUCCUUACAGCUGGUUCUCACUUCUCGACAUGAAGCUUGUCUGAGUUGGAUUCCAUUGGAUACAAAACUUUUAACUCUAUAGAUUUCCUAAACGACCAGCCCCAGAUCCUCUCUUCCUUCUCCUUCUCUUCUGCCGAAUCCGCCAUAUGCUCCAAAACAAUACAACACCUGACAGUAGAACCAGGUUUGGAUCAAUGGUCAAAUUAUCAACAUCCAUUGUAUUCUAAAGAAGAACCUACUGAUAGAGAGGAUAGUUUUCCAAACCUGUAAUGGCUAAUUCCUCCGGCACCAACCCAAAGCGCGCGAAACAAAACAUGAAGACAAGCAUGGAGAAACAAAAAAAAUGGCUAUUCCUGCAGGCACAAGCCAACGGCUUGCAACCAGAAUUGGCACGUCAAGCUGUACGAAAAUUAUCAACAAGCUCAGUGCGAUGAUCAAUUGAUCAUGCCUCAAAUGGCAACAAAAAGACCAUUCAGAUUGCACGGUCUUACCUCGUCGCGAUUCAGAAUCUCGAAUAUAUGACUUCCUUGCAUAUCACCCUGAUUUCUCCCUGUAACUUUCGGACGUCUGAAAUUGGAAGGGUCGACUGUAGAAUUCAGACUACUUCUUCCUAAAUCUAUGAUGGGAAGUCUUCUGUUUCGUCUGCUAACGUGUAGACUGCGACCCUUGGUUUCCCAUACUUCAAAUCUGGAAUCCCUCCUGCAGAUCAAGUCCUUCUCCACCACUGCAGAGUAAGUCGAGAAAUUUACAUCUGUUCUACGCGAUGGUAAUUGGUUGUCAUCCACAUAUAUGGCCAUGUCUUGUUUCGCAGACUCAGAGAAGAGUAAUGGAUCUCUAACGUUCCCACUGGUGAAGUCCAGUAUUUUCUUCAGAAGCCAGUAACAAUUGGUCACCAUGUGGCUACUGUCCAAGCAGUUGGAGUCUCCGUACACAGCAACACGUCCUUCACCUGCCUCCACAAGACCCAGAAUCGGAGAAUCUGCCUGCAUAAAUAUAAAAAACGAGAUCUGAGGGUUCAACCUUAUGGAACGUUGAACAAACAGAACCCUCCUUUCUUCACUAUCAACAUAAAAACGUAAUCUGGUUGUGGAAAUAAACUGGGAGCAUGGACUACUUGAGUUGAGAUUCAGAUUCUGUAACUUGGUUGUCCACCAAGUAACAGACUUAGUACUUUGAAUUUCUGAUUUAUUUUUACCUUCGCUGUUCCUGAUUUCAACAGCACAUUCUGCGUAGCCCCACUUUCGGAGCUAUCCAGAAAAGGGAAACCGUGUACAUAGCCACCUGAGGGGAACCUCACAAUAUCUGUCCCAGAUGCAUAUCGACUUUGCUCCCCGUCGAUGGAGAAAUCUCCAUUUAAAAUCUUAUCCCCAAAAGCAAUGCCAAAUGACGCCAGGAGAUCAUUCAGUGCCGGAAUAUUUGCUCCCCCUGUGACGGGAGUCCACCAGCUUCUUGUGUUAUCAUCAAAGAAUCUCAUUUUCACCAUUGUAUCUACGUUAUACCAUUCAGCAAAUACAGCUAAUCCCAUCCCACUGCCAAUAACAUCCUCCCUCAGUUUUUCAAUUUCCUCUUGGAAGUACUCAUCUUCAAGAUCAACAAGAAGGAGCGUUCCAUAUUGGCGAGCAUCAAAGCAAGUGAAAGGAGAACCGAGCGUCUCGACAUAGUACCCAGCAUCUCGCAACAUAUUAAACAUAAUAUGAAAAUUUGUAUGUAGAUGAUCUCCAUGCCAAUCAAGAAUAUCAUUGCGGACAUCCAACGAGUCUCUCGGAAUAUAUCCUGGAGGGUAUUUGAUAUUGUGAAAUUGAUCCCACAAUAUCCUCUUUGACCUUGGUGGAGUUGGAACCACUUGCAGUUUCAGCUGAAGCACACAAGUGCUUCUUCUUCGCUUCUUUUCACCAGGAGCCGGAGGACUGUACACAGUAAGAGUGACAUUACCCUCAAUUUCUCCAGAAAACUGAGCACCUUCUUCUUUAAUUUGGAUAUGAAGUGCUAUAUAGCCAGUCCACGGCCAGAUGAUUUUUGAAUAGGAAAAGUGAAUGCUUAAAAUAUCUCUGUCUUCAUCUACAGGAUUCCAUGUAGGUGUAUCUUCGACGUAGCCAAUUACACCCAUCCCAUUUAGAAUCGUAGCAUUGAACAUAACUGGCAUGGCCCCGGCAUAUAGUGGUUGACGGCAGAAUGGCCAGGAGUAAGGGCAAUCUGAAAAAUCAAGAACACUGGGGAAGAUGGUUGCCCGAGGUUGAUAAUUCUUCAGAAUUUCAUAGGACUCCAACCUGAGCGAGGAGCUGAAGUUAGAACAAAUAUUCGCUGAUCAAGGAAAAAUGUUACAAGACUUAUGCUUACCUUACGUGAGGUUAAUUCCUAUUAUUUUCUUCUAAUAUGGUGAAGCAAUCAGCUAGAAUAACUAUCAUAGAAACAUGAUGGAAACAAAAGAAAAAACUUACAGAUUUACUCUUCCUGCACCCUGCUCAUACAUAUUGGGACCAGAAAGCUUAGCAGCCCCCUCAACAAGUGCUUGUUUCAUGCUUGCAGGAUUCAGAAUUGCCUUACGGUCGCUUUCAGGGAUCACACUGACAAGUAGGCAUACCACACCAGCAACCACAGGGCUCGCUACACUAGUCCCAGAUAAGCUUUUACACCCUGAACUUAUCUUCGAACCCAUGAUAUCUUUUCCAUAUGCCACAACAUCUGGCUUCACACGACCAUAUCUAUCAAACACACACAAAAAUGAAGGUCCUUCAAGAUUUGUAAACAAAAAGGAAAAACAUACUGUUUAAAAGGAACAUGUCUAACAAACAAGAAAAUCUAGCAAGUAAAGGUCGAAAUGUCAAAGAAGAAGCCACACAAGACUGAUCAAGUAGCCCGAGAGUAAUAAACAGAUCUUCACACAAUUGCAACAGCUAUUUAUACUUGGAAAGAAGAAUGAGCAAUUAAAUAGGUCAGGCCUCUGGCUAUUUUGAUAUUGCCGACUGCCUAGCUAAUCAAGAUUCAAGACUGUGGAAAGGUGUAAUAGACAGAAAAAAAAUCAAGGUCAAGAGAUAACUGUAUUUACACCAGUCCACUUCUAUCGAAAUGCAAUAUCUGCAGCAAAGGAGUAUCAAGAAAAAUGCAGUCUUAGUAUACUGAGCUUAGACUACAUCUAUGUGCAAACCAAUUAAUACUAAAAAAUAUAGUGAGCCUAUAAACGAACGAAAACACAAAUGGUUGAAAUCACCUGUGUCAUAAAAAAGUCAAAAUGAACAGGGUAGCAUUCAAGUUUUCUAACAACUGGAGACCGGUGUGCUAUAAGCAAUAACACUAAGAUGCAUACAACGUAAAAUAGAUUACCCAUGAGGAAUCUCCCAAGUGCUCAUGCCACGUGAUGAAAAUGGGGCGAUAUGAUCAUUGUAAUCUAUUCCUCCCACCCCAAUUACAUCACUUUGAUCUGCUGGAUUGUUUAAUGUACCAUAGAGAGGUCCAUCAUUUCCAAUAGCCGAUACCAUAAUGAUGUUAUUGGCUGUUAACUCCCAUAUCUGGUGGUCAAUAAAUAUUUGAACACGUGUCAACAGAAAAGAGAUAAAAGCCCUAUUACUAGAGACUUUAGAACAACAUGAAAAAGGCACUCCACAAACAGAAAACUGAUGUUUAGUUUGGGCAAAGAAAUAGUUGGGAUACUGCUAUAUCAAAAGACUAAUAACAUAAUGAUUUGCGAAUAAACUGUAUAAUUUCUCAUGUAGUGAGCACCCAAAACAAUGCCUGCAGAAGAGAUAACAGACGCUCAAAACUAGUCCUUACCUUUUCAACAAAAGGGAGGUCCAGGAAAUCAGGGCCACCAAUACUCAAAUUUAGUACGUCCAUUUUUGUUGCAAUAGCGUAGUUAAAUGCAUCAAGAAACCAUGACGUGUAAGAUACCUGCAAUGGGCUGAAUACCAAAUUCUCAUAACCUUGGUAAGUUAAAGACUAAUCAUACUGCAGAAAAACAAACGUAUCAACAAUUCAAAUUCUUGCAAGAUUCUCCUCUCCACCACCGCAACUUGUUCACCGGAAAUGAUUGAUCGACCAGUGAGCAUUUGGGAGCAGAUUUGUGACCUUAUCCUUUAAAUUGAAAACCCAAAAGCACUGGAAGCUCUAAUUACCUGAGCAUCUGUAAAUACACGGAACACAUAAACCCAAGCAUCGGGGGAAAACCCAAGACAUUCACCACCUUGACCAGCAAUAACGCCAGCAACAAAAGUCCCAUGUCCAAGGUUGUCAUUUAAAGUAUCCUCGCUGGUCCAGUUUGUACGUUCCUGAAAUUAUAUAAAGAAUACAUAUUAAUGUGCCACCUUUACCAGAACCAAAUACCCUUCCAAAUGCAGGAAAACCGAAACAGAGGACGGCAGAAAUAAGUCCUUCAUUAAUUCAUACCAUAAUGUUACGGAAAUGUGGGUGAUCAGAUCGAAUUCCAGUGUCAAAUAUAGCCAUCUUCACCUUAGCACCAGUAUACCCUUUCGACCAAAGAACAUCUGCUCCAAAUAAUGAAGUCACCUGUGACUUCUGCAGCAGAAGAAACCCAUUUUUGUUUGUUCAAUAAAAUGAUAUACAGUUUCAAAAGAAACCAGAAAAGAAUGUAAUGACUGGAAAAGUUAGAUAAUGCAAUUCCUGCUUCUACCUAGAAAAACACUAAUCUUUUCAGACAGAAACGGGAACCAAGACGAAAAUAUAAAGUAGAAAGCAUAUAGAUGCACAAAGAAAAAUGCGCAACAAAAUCACUCCAUUGAUCACAAGGUUAACCUCACACAGUGCUCCAACGCAAUGAAAAGGGGAUCUUACUAAUUAGAGAUUCACAUUGUAUUUUGCAGGGAUAUGACACAGUGAAGACAUAAAAUAAAACUCAAGAAAGAAACAAGCUUUCACAACUAGGCGCUCGUAUCAAAAUGCACUCCAUCAAGUGCAAACAGUAUGACACAGAGAAGUACAAACUCCUAAUAUUCAAGGGGGCAAGAAAUGUAGCAGGAUUCAUUCUGUUUAUCAAUUUACCUGUGCUACGACAAGAACUCACCUGGGCUAGCAGCUGCCUUCCCAAAUUAACGGACGAAUUACUUUCUCCGGACACCGGGUGAUGCUCAUCUUCACUGAAAGACAUCGAAGUGAAUAUCUUCCCAGGACGCUUCUUCCCAUCAGCAAACGAGCCACCGCCGGCGAGAGAAGCACCUAGCAAUUCCCUAUUAUAGCUGAAAUCCACAUUCACAUCCUUAACCAUUUCCAACAUCUCAAUCUCCGCCACCACUUCCUCCACCGCCGUCUCCUCGACAGCCACCACCCCAAAAUCUGUCGCGUACUUCAUCGCCGGGUUCCUCCUCUCGAUCCAUUUCCAUCCUCCCGGUCCAAGCUCCGAUUCCAAGUACCGCCGGUGGGCCGCGGCACUCCUGGAAGAUUUCACCGGGAUACUCCAAGUUGUCCGACGAGCGGCCAUGGGUGUGAGUGAUUGUCGGAACUCCGGUUGAUUUGGCGGGAAACCCCACACAUAGAGAAACGGAAAUCUGAAAUCUUUAUCGUUAUGAAGAUGUUUCGAUCUGUUUCUUGUUCUUCUUCAUUAUACUUUGUUUUCUCCUCUUCCUCUGACCUUCUCUUUUCUCUUGCUCUUUUCUCUUUACUAUUCUGUCCAGCAAAAUUCGUUAUUUUCCACGUUGCAAUGCGGACUUUCACUUUCACCCCAAAAUAUUUUUUUUGGUUCAACCGGUGAGUUGAUGGUUAAACCAGCAAAGUUGGCGAUCCAACCGAGUGAACCAUGGAUUUUGACUCCAAGGCACAAACUGUUGAACGCCACAGCCAGGGGAGGAACAAAGAAAGAAGGGGUGGAUGGCGGGAGCAGGGUUGUGUUUCAGUUCGUCUCUCUCAGUUCAAAGCUGCUAUAUGGCUAGGCUUCCGCUUCCUUUGCUGAAGCCACGGCAUAACUUUAAGUUCAAGUUCCUGAUUUUCAAGGAUAUCCCAGUUGCAACAGCAGCUUCAAUUGCACCUUUGACUCGACGGUUUAGCUCUGCAACUUCUUUGGCUGAGGACCGUGUCUCCGUAGACAUGGAGAAUUACAAGUAGGCUUUUGCAAGGAGAAUGGCCAUGGCUGGUCUCAAACCACACCAUUCCAUUGGUGAGCUUUCCUGCGAGAGAGAUUGUUUUGUCCCAAGUCAGGCUUUUUCAGUGAAUUUUUGUUUAAAUUGUGAAAUAUGGUGAGAGGAAGAGGGACAAAGUUUAUACUUCGGUUGAUCUGGAGGUAGAUUCCUUGAUAUUGAUUGGUCUUGAUUAUAUUUAGAAAGGAAGUUUGAAACUUUCAUCCCUUCUGCUUGGAACUUGUAGUUCCUGGUGCAGUGUCGAAGUUACUCAGCUAUGUUUUGCUGCAGUUUGUUUAAAUUGUGAAUUUUGGUGAGAGGGAGGGAACAAUUUAUAUUUUGGUUAAUCUUGGAGGUGGAUUAAGCAAGAAAGUUUGGAACUUUCUUACCUUCUGCUUGGAACUUGUGGUUACUGGUGCAGUGUUGGCGUUACUCAAGAUAGUUAUGUUUUGCUGCAGCUUUAGGAGUAUCGGGUGGCCCUGACAGUAUGGCACUGUGUUUCCUAACUGCCGCUUGGAAAACCGAUAAUGCUGUUGGCCGGAGUUGUGGUGGCUAUAUUGUAUCCCACCGAGUUUCGUAAAUCGGUACAUUUAUGGCUUAUAUGGGAUGAUGAGGGUGUCCAUCAUUUGGUGAACAUGUCUGAUCUGUUUUCAUGAGAUGUCUAACCUGAACAUUUUGUAGGAAUCAGAUGCGUGAUUGCAGAAUGUAGUUGGUCAGAUGGAAGGCCUAAACAAGGUCAUCUGCAAGAAGCUGCUCGCGAGGUGAGGUUUGCUUUACUAGUCUUGAAGUCAAAACUGUGGAAACGUUGUUUAUCAUCAGACUAGUAGCUAAUGAUAUGAUUUUCAGGUAUCAAAUGUUCCAGAAAGUUUGCAUUCAGCACCAGGUUGGUGUGUUGCUUAUAUUGCUCAACAGGCAAACGGCCAGGUUUGAUUGAUAACUUGUUAUAUGCAUCCCAAUUUUGUUUUUGCCAAUAAGCAAGUUGAAAGGGGAAGGGACAUUUAUGCAGGCCGAGUUGCUGAUUCUUAGACUUUCGCGAAGUAGCGGUGUGCUAGGACUUGCAGGAAUGGCAUUUACUUCUGAGUUGUUCUCUUCAAGCACGGUUUUGCAUAAUCAAGGUUUAAACAAAAGAGGCACACUUGUAGUUCGUCCACUCUUGCAUUUUUCUAAAGAAGACAUGUAUAAGGUCAGUGCAUAUAAAAGGUGCACCUUAGUAAAAGAGUGAUUCCUCUGUUCAAGACAAUACAUCAAAGCAAUCAAUUGAGAUCAUACCCUAUAGCAUGUAUGGAAAAAAGCUGUCUUCUGAAAUAGUUUUUUCUCCCCAGAUCUGUCAAGCAGGUAAUCAGGAGUGUGGGUGGAGGACCCAACGAAUCAAAGCCCUCUUUAUGCUUGGAACAAGAUCAGAAUUGGAUUGGGAAAAUUGUCAUCAUGUGAGCCUCCGCUUAUCUUAUUGAAUACAACAUUUUUCCAGCUCAAAGAUAUCAUUUUUAUGACAAAAGGAUAGAGCUUUGUGCACUUUGUGUGCUUGAUUGGAUCGAAUUGUGAUUUCGUUCUCUGAUUUGUCAGAUACUUUCCGGUCUGAGCUACAAGCAAUCAUAUCUUGCUGUCGCAAAACACGUGCAUAUAUUGACCGCGUCUCCAAUAAUUUGAUAGAUCAAGCCGUGAAAAUUACAGAUGUAAGAAUGGAUUUUUGCUUCUGAACUCAUUUGAAUAGCUAGAAUCUUGUUUAAAUUGCUUUCCUUAACAUUUGGUGCUUGUUGUUCCUCUUUUGUGGCAGCAAGGUUAUGCUAUUCUUGAUUUGAUGAUUCUUAAUCCAUCACAAGUUUCUGAUAUAUGCCUUUCAAAGUCCAUUGCCUUGGUACUGCAGGUAAUUCUAAUUUCUAUUACCUGUUAGAUAUGUUUUCAGCUUAAUUUUCUUGGUUGGUCUUCCCUAAUAUUUUUCCAUUCUGAAUUGAAUCAGUUCAUCUCCAAAGGCAGAGAACUGUUAGAGGUGCCACUUCAAAAUUGCUACUGGAUUACAUUCGCACUUUCCCAUGUAAGGCAAGUUUACCAGAGGCUGCAAUUUGAUGUACAGUUUGAACCUUUUAUUUUUUAUCUCAAAUGAAUCUUGCUCUCCUUCCCUUUCUGAUCAACGUUGCUUACGACUAUUCUUGCAGAGUUCUUUUACAGCAGCUGGAUGCUACCUUUCCCCAGCUCCUGGAUCCAGAGGAACGAAAGUCUUAGUUUGCUGUUCGGUUGAUUGUCCUCGGCCUUCAAAAACGGAAGUGACUAGUAGCAAACAGAAGCAGUACGAUCCUCAAUGUUCGGACGGGAUUAUAGCCGAAGGGAAGUCAUACGUGGAUCAGUUCAUACCAGAUGUCUCAGACACCAAGUUUCUCAACAGAACAUCGUGUCAAUCAGUUUUAACCGAAGUCAGAAAACUCGGUCUCAUCAGCGAGGCAACUUAUAGAGGUACAAUCACACUGCAAAGAGAUGAAACAAAGCAUUUUAAGCCCGACUCCGAGAAUAAGAUGAACUUGGAGCAAGAAAGCACAAGGAAUGAUGCCAUUACAGCAUCUCCAAGUUCUUUGCUUUUUCGACCCGGCCAAGCGUGCUACUUCAUGAACAGAUUCUUGAUCACUUGGAACAAACUUCCAGAACGAGAUUGACAGUUUAGUCAUUGCUCCUCUUUGGUAGUCGAUCAUCAAACAGCGGCCGAGAUCCGGCCUAUGGUAGAGUCUGACUGACUCUAUCUAGCUAAAUUGGCAAAAUCUGAAAGCUGGAAUGACUCGCAGCUGCAAAUAACUAAUGCAGGCAGUGAAGUAGGGCAGAGAACAGUAAAAAGUGAUUGCGACUUGGCAUACUUGCAACUGUUGGCACAGAAAUCUCUUCCAUCAUUGAAAUCGAUCCCUGUCGCCGCCAGACGAAGCCUGCCUGUAUUAGUAAAUCAACAAGGAGUCUUGCUGACUAUCCCAGUAUGUUUACCAUUCCCUGUCUCUCUGUUAUGAACAAUUCAAUUUCAAUCAACCUUGUAAAUCUGGACUCACCCUGGUCGUUUUGUGUCUUUUUCAGAGCAUUGGAUUCAAAAUUUGCCCUUGUUGGAUGGUUUCCUGUGCAUUCAAGCCAAGAGUGCCAUUAGGAGGAGGUUACACUUCAUUUUUGUAGAGGAUGUGCUCCCAGUUCAUCUCAUAGAAGGCCUGAGACUGAUGUACCAGUAUCAUUUGUAUAAUAUUCAAGCAGAAUAAUUACAAUCAAUAAACAAAUGUGUAGCUUCAGUUCAUGGCAUUAUGUAUAUCAGAAAUCAAUAGACAAAUUGCCUGCCUAGAAUCUGCAGUAACCGGCAAGAAGAGUAGCAGAGAAUCUGCAUUAAACAUUGAUUCUUGCAUUAAACUUGUUUCCGAAAUACAGUGACGCAAGUUAUGCAUUGGAUGCAGCUAAUACAAAUCAUAAAACCAAACUUUUAAAAUCCCUACCCAUGUUUUUACAGCUACAACUUGGUAUUCAGCAACAGAAAAGAAAGAAAUGAAAGUGUGAAUUAAAAAGAACAGGAGAAGGUUAUCAUCAUAAUCCGCCAUGACCACCUCUCUCCUUGAGAGGCUCAAUUGAUUUGAACCACUGUUUCCAAGGAGCAUCUUUUUGUUGCUCCACCCAUGACAAGAAGGCACUGUCUAUCAAGCAAAACAAAUUGACGUAGAGAAGUUGGUACUGUACUGGUAUAUAUCUGAAGUUUGCAACCUGAACGAUGGGCCAAAUACCACCUUCCACUAUCAAUGAUGGCAGGAAGUCCCUUUUCACAUCUUCUUUCACUCGAGCAGCAUUCUUGCCAGUUGCAAAUCCCAUGUAACUGAAAAACACUAGCAAAUCUAAAGGGCCAAAGAUUAUGCCAUCAGCUGCCACUUUAGCAGCCACAAACCGAGCCGACUUAGGUGCUAGUUUAAGCCUGGUAGUUAUGAUCUUGUCCAAGUUCUCAUACCUACAAAGGAGAGGACUCAAAUCAAUAUAUCUGGUUUUUGCUUGUAACAAGUCAUAGACGUUCUCGAGAAAAUAUCCACUUCAACUAGUAUUUUAGGCGAGUACUGAAAUCCAUACAUCAUAAAUCACCAAGUGCGACCUCAAGCUUUCAAGCUAACAGUUGAAUGUGAAGAAGCUAAAGCGUUCUCCAGAGACAUCCACAUAACCAACUCUAACAAUCGUCAUCACUAUGACAAGGAAGCUCAAUAAAAACUAGCGUUCAGGACUUGGCACCAGAAACAUCAAAGAUGACCAUCACGCAUUUUGAAACAAGUUGCAUUACAGUCAGAUGAAUGAAAGACUAGAUGCCACAAGUCCUUUGAACAAGAAAUAUAUAUGUUUCAUAACGUUUUACUUACAAUCCAGCCAGAUACCAGAAUUUUUGUAAAGAAUAACUGGAAAAAGGUGCAUAUCUAAAUCAAUGCAAUGAAGAUGAGAAGACAAACCAGAAGUGGCCAACUGGACCAACAAAGCCAAAGCCAAAUGCGCUGGUAAUAGCUGCACGCUUCCAAUCGAUUCUGAAAGCAUUCUCUUUAUCCUGCUACACGAAAAUUUAAUUAUGUGUUACUUACAACUACCUUAACAAAAGGUAACAUCAUCUUUAUGAAGACGUUCUCAAAUUCUCUCAACAGCACGCAUCAGACUCAUCUAGUUUAAAUCACGUAUGAAGAGAUUACUGGAAAGCCCUAGUCCAUAGGAAAAGGUUAACUUGCUAGUUUUCCAGUGUAAUACGGUAAUGCCCCAAUUUGAAGGAAUCAAAGGCAUCAAGAACCCAUAUCGAGUUAGUCGAAAACCCUAAACCCAAACAAGUAGAAUACGAAGCAGAAAGGAUCAACACACUAAAAAUUAAUUGAAACCGUGUUGGCAGGAGAAGCAUUAGAAUCAAAAUCCAAAAAAAAAAAAAAAAGAGGGGCGGGGGACGAACUUACGGUAGAGUGAAUGUGCUUAAUGGCUGUGCAAUGAGUGACGUAUUGAGCACCGAUGUCGCCAAGCCCCCAGAGGACACCGGAGCUGAUUACCUGGGUCUUCAAAGGGUGGGAAGAUAAGCAGUGGCUGUACCAACUCCAUAGCUUCAUCAACAUUCUCCCUCUGUAAGGUGGAGGAAGAAGAAGAUGAAGAAGAAGAUGAAGAAGAAGAAGAAAGACGAGGGUCCAAUGAGAAAGGCGGAAAUUGUAGUUAGGGUGUAGGAGGGAAGGGGUUCGUGUAAUGAUACUUAUUUUUGUCGUCGUGUUUAUAAUAAUACUGGAUUACUUACUGGUUUGGUGGCGUUUGUUUGCUUGGUGACCCACUAAUUUCUUUUUUAUGACCCAAAAGGUGGAUUGCACGAAAUUCCUUAACACAAAUUAUAUUAGCUCUAAGUCCUACUGUUUCACAGUUCGAGUGUUUGAUGAAUGUUAUAAUUAUUUUAAAUUUUUGGAUUCGAAUAUGUUUAUAUAACUAAUUUUUUUUUGUAAUUUCAAAGAAUUGAGUAAGUUUCCAAAUCUAUGUAAAUUUAUUAUUUAGCGAGUCAUAAUAAAUUAAAUCAAAAUAUAUAUGAAAACUUUUAAUUUAAUUUAAUUCAAAAUCAUAUUUCAAAUAUGUAGACUACCGACACAAUGAACUUUAAAUCUCGGCUCUCUAAUAGCUCAGGCGCAACAUACAAAUAAGCACUAACAACCUAUUAUAAUGCUAAUCAACUCAACAACUAAGCAUAGCUUAACACAAUUGUAUGCAAACCCCUUAUUUCUAUUUAGAUGGAUCUGCUCUGACCAUAAGAAGUUUCCAAACGCCCGAACAAAAGCUCACCACCACAAUCUAAUACACGGCCAUGAAUCUGGAUCAAACCCCCAAGAUAGAACAUCAGAUUCUAUCUUUAACCUUAAACCUUCCAAUCAAGGUAUCAUGGCGAAAGGGAGAAGAUUACUUUCAAACGGACAAGGGGAAACCGCCCUGAAGUCUUGAGGUGAUCAGACGACGAAUGGGCAAUGAACGGGAUGAAGAGAGAGCCUGAAUCUCAAAGGAAAUAGCCAAAAAUUGAAAUUGAUAAAAUAACACAUGGAUUAUACCAGCACGGCCGAGGAAAAAGGGGAUUAUAUCUUAAACGCGCCAACAGUCGUUGAAUUAUUUCCUGACAACACCCAUAAGGCUUCUUACCGUCAACGGUCGUUGCAUGACCACAGGUGACUAGUUCAGAGAACACAAAUUUCAUACCAAACUCAGCAACCUAAUUAUUCGAACUAACAUGAGAAUGGGUUACAUAAAUAAUGUACUAAUUGUGUUUUCAUCAUCACAAUCAUAAGUUUUAUAUGAUUUAUAAAUAGUCUACAGUAAUCUAUACAAAACAUAUGUUACAUUAUUGAACUUCCUAAGAAGUCGAGUAAUGGAAUUGGCUUUCACCCUAUAAAGUUGAGCAUACCUUAAAUCAAGUUUAGCUCAUUUAAAAUAGAGACAAAUUACAACCAAUUUUUUUUGAGCCAAACACCAAAUUAAACUAAAUCAUGAAGUGAAUUGCACAAGAAAUAUUCACCAAGGUCGUUUGAUAUUGGUAAAAUUUGGAUGUGUUUGUGAGUGUAUUUUGAGAUGCACCUAUUUGUUUAAGGUUUGAUGAUGUUAAGUUUUUAUAUUUCAAAAAUCAUAAUUUUUUUAACUAACGCAUCGUGACGGAUGAUUCUCAUUACUAAGAUAAUGACCAAACGGCCUUACAACGUAUACGCUCGUUGUCAACAUAGAGAUGCUGACUUCACAGGUGGGCUACAUGGUUCAAGGUCAGGAAACCCGACACCUUAGUCUCUAAUCAGACUGGGGAGCAAAGGAAGAUAAAAAGUAAAUAACUACCUAGCAACAAACACUCCAAAAAACAAAACCAAGAGACCCAAACAAAUAAAUCGAUCCCAAAAAAACUGGAAAGCCCUAGCUAACUUGGAUGUUGUAUCCUCCUUUGAACCUGCUAAGGGAAGUUAGGACUUUAGUCGUUUUAGCUCUUAAGAUCAGAGAAGCGGAUCGGUUGCUCAUAGCUAACCGGCUGGUGGUACAGGAAAAGAUGGCAUGACCAUGGUUCUUAACGACUUGGCAGGCUUGAACGGUUUCUCGACCAAUUCAACAAGGGAGAGCACCUCCUCCACUGGUUUGGUGACCACCAAAGCAGCAACUUGUUUCAUGGAAAACGCGGUAGCCCUUGUAAUUUGGUGGUGCAUGAUGCGGUAGUAGCACUUGUGAGGCGAGAAAGAAGAGAAAAUCCUCCUCCACCUGAUUUAUAAGCGCCAAAUCAACAAUCCGUUUCUCCAUGGUGGUCUUGGUCUUCUUUGCAGUCGGACCAUCAAGGGGUGAUGGUGAUGCCAUAGAGAUGAAAAAACUCUAGCAGAAAAUCCUAAUUGAAGCUCUUCUAUUGAAAGGAAAACUCUAACUCUCCGGUUGAGAGAAAAAACACACUACACAUAUUAAUUCGUCAAACCCAUAAUUUUCAUUUGUAUAUGUUUUGUGUAUUAUGAGAAUUUAUCCUUUUGUUCGUAAUUUCUACAAAAAUAUAAAUUCUCACUUCCCUCAAAUAAACCAAUGACCCCGUGAGACCUGACAUACUUGGACCCAACCUGAACUCGAAACAAAAAUGACAAAAACCCAACAAUUCAAAUUUUGUGUGUGGGUUAAGCUCGAGUAUAGGAUCAACCCAUUGACUAAAAAAUUUUAUAAUGCAUAUGAAAAUUACUAAUUUUAACAUCACUCAAAGUGUUUUAAUAUUUAGUCUUACUUAUGAUAUGAUUUUGGUUGUUGAUUUUAUAAUAUUUAGUGUUACAAAAUUCAUAAAUAUCAUAUCACCCCAAUAUUAUGUUUCUAAAAAUUAUUACUCUAUUCAUUCAACAAUUUUUAGAAAGAUAUUUUAAAAAAACCAUAAACCAAUAAAUAUUUAAUUUGUUCAAUGCUCUCUACAUAUACAAAUNNNNNNNNNNNNNNNNNNNNNNNNNNNNNNNNNGUGAUGGGUAGUAUCAUUAAUUUGUAUUUUUCUAUACAUUUCUUUUCGCUAUGAGCUAUUAUAUACUUAUAUUUUACUAUCUUUAUUUAUAAGUUUAACUUAAAUUAGUCAAAUUUUUGUCAACCAGUAACCGAUGUGACCCACCAAAUUAACCCGUUUCAACUCAAUUGCCAAUUUUAAAUUUUAUUGUCUUAUUAAUUAUUUUACCUACCGAAUAUACAUAUUCAAAAUUUAAUAAAAAAAAAUCAAAUAAAAUAAUCUAACAUGCUCUAAUUUUUAAAAAACAUAAUUUCACAUUUCCUUUAUUCUCAUAUUUGUUUUUCUAAUUUUGAAACUCUGUACUAAACUCACAGUUGAAAUUGAAUGGUUAUCGUGGCAUUCUCUCUUCCUCCAAACAUUAUUCACAUUUUUGUUUUUGCGUUGGCCAAUUGCCAUAUAGCCUUGGAAAUAUAGAAAUUCAAAUAAGAACGAGUAAAAAAUAAUAUCCAGAAUCUAUUUCUGAUAAAUUUAGUGGAUAAGAAUCCUCAACACAUUUUCCUUCAGUACCAAACAAAAUAAUUUUUCUUCCCUUUCCUCUCAUUUGUUCAUUUCCGAUUGUGCUGCUCCCAUGCGCUACUUGUACACAUCUCAUACCCGCCAUGCAACCUCAUCAUCAUUCUACAUUUGCUCUGCUCUGCUCUGCUCAUAAUUCCAUCUUCCCAAUCGAAUAGGUAAGAUACCCAACUCAGCAAGUUUCUGGGUUUUUCCUGUUGCAGUCCAAAGUAAUGAACUUCAAUCUGAAAUCUAGCCAUCUGACUAACCGUCUCUUUUCUGGAUGUUAGCUUCCAAUUAUGUAUGUAGGACACUUGCCAAUUUCAGUUGUGCUGGGAGUUGCGUUUAUUCGAAGUGUCACACUUGUUUAGAUUGUUGGUAAUUUGAUUUGGUUUCUUGUUGGUUAAUCUUUUGAACUACUCUCUUUGGAUAUUGAAUUUUCCUUAAGAAGCCUAAUCCUUUCACCAAGACUUGGAUGUUUAGGGACUCCAGUUGAAUGCCCAUUAAAGCUUUGCAUAUCGAUUUGCUUCUUUUACGUGGCUGCAAUAUUUUUUUGAAUCCUUGACAAAUUUCAAGUAGCUUGGUGUGCGUGUGUGUGGAGCUUUGUAGUAUAUAAAGUUUUUCGUCUUUGACGUUUGAAAUUAGAGAUUUUUUGUGAAGAGUGUCUUUAGGUGUCUUCUUAUCAAUGACAUAUAAUUACAUUGAAUUUCUAGUGUGAUAGCUUGAAGUGGAAUCCAAAUACCGGAAGAAAGAUUGCUUGGUUCAAGUAGAGAGAUUUUCCAGUAUUCUGUACAGAGAAGGUCAAUAACAUUGUCAUGGGUACAUGCCAAGAAGGAACAAUCUCAAACAGCCAAUUGGUUGAAGCAUCUGCUGUGAUGGGAUUGGUUGAAGCAUCUGCUGUUAUGGUAAUAAUACAUUCUUUUUUGUUUUCUUUCUUGAGCGAAAUCAAUUCGAAUUAGGAUUCAUUACUUGGAGCUUCACCAUUCAGUAUUAGUCAUUGUAGAAUGAUUUCUGACUGUCCAUUGCUUAGCUUGAUGCGCUAUGAUCUCAAUAUUCGAUGUCAUGCAUUGGCCUUAGCUUUAUCUUUUGUCAAGUUUGGAAACAAAUGUCUUGCUUGUCUAGCCAUGAGAUAGUGCCUAUGUUUCUUCUUCUUUUUCAGUUUUGGUGAUAAUGUGAUGAGAAGGUUGGUGAUUUAUUAUGAAAUCACAGGACCAAUUUGGGCCAUUCUCCUCAAGAUCUUUGGAUUUAAAGGCUCAAUCUUGCUGCUCGGUAUGCGCUGCCAACGAUAGUUGCCAGAUUGUUAAAUCGAGAACGAAACUUAUGAACAUCUUGAUUCAAAGACGGAAGCCUAGAGAAGCAGAAUCCAUUUUCGACGGCCUAAUGGAAGAAGGCCACAAGCCUACUCUUCUAACCUACACAACACUGGUUUCUGCCUUAACUCGGCAAAGGCGUUUCAAGUCCAUCCUCUCACUCAUAUCUAAAGUGGAAGAGAACGGGAUGAAACCUGACUCUAUACUGUUCAAUUCGAUCAUCAAUGCUUUUUCCGAAUCAGGAAAUGUAAAAGAUGCUAUGAAAAUCUUCCAGAAGAUGAAGAGUAGUGGAUGUAAGCCCAACUCGAGCACCAUCAACACUCUGAUCAAAGCAUACGGAAACGCUGGGAAGCCAGAAGAAGCUUCGAAAUUGUUGGAGUCAAUGUUAAGGGAUGAAAAUGUGAAGCCGAACCAGAGGACAUACAAUAUCCUAGUUAGAGCUUGGUGUAACAAGGGAAACAUCGACGAGGCCUGGACUGUGAUGUAUAAGAUGGUUGCGGCUGGUUUGAAGCCGGAUGUAGUCUCAUAUAACAUACUAGCAAAGGCUUAUGUUCAAAUAGGCAUGACAGACAAAGCUGAGGAUUUGUUGUUUGAGAUUCGGAGAAGUGGAUUGGCGCCAAGCGAGCGUACCUGUGGUAUCAUUGUGAACGGCUAUUGCAAUGAAGGUAAUAUGGCGGAAGCCUUGAGGUUCGUAUACAGGAUGGAGAAGCUUGGCGUGCAUCCUAAUUUGGUCGUCUUCAACUCUCUCAUCAAAGGUUUUUCAAGUAUCAUGGACAAGGAUGGAGUCGACGAGGUCAGUUUCGGAACCAUUGAAAGAGACUAUUUCUUAGUUCUAACUUCUAUGCCGUUGUAUUUUGUUGAGUUUUCUGAAUUUAUGACCAUAUUGUCAUGGACCGUUGCAUCCCAAUAACUCAAGGUGUUGGGAGAAGGUUAAUUAUGAAUCUUAUACCAUUCUCUUACACAUGUUACAGGCGCUUGAUGCUAUGGCGGACUAUGGAAUCAAGCCAGAUGUGGUAACAUUCAGCACGGUAAUGGAUGCAUGGGGUUCUGCAGGGCUCAUGGACAAAUGCCAGGAAAUCUUCAAUGACAUGUUGAAAGCAGGCAUAGAACCUGAUAUCCAUGCAUUCAGCAUUCUCGCUAAAGGUUAUGUUCGAGCCGGAGAGCCAGAGAAGGCCCAGUCAGUGCUGGCUUCCAUGGAACAGUACCGAGUGCGUCCAAAUGUUGUGAUCUGCACAACCAUCAUCAGUGGCUGGUGUAGUGCGGGGAAAAUGGAUACCGCAAUGGAGGCCUACGAGAGGAUGUGUGAGAUUGGUGUUUCACCAAAUUUACGAACUUUUGAAACUCUGAUAUGGGGAUAUGGGGAAGCCAGGCAACCGUGGAAAGCACAGGCGUUGCUGCAAGUUAUGGAAGCGAAGGGCGUAUCGCCUGACGAUAACACAAUGCAGCUUAUCUCAGAUGCUUGGUUCGCUGUUGGUUUAACAAGUGAUGGCAAGAGAAUCGUGGAUGUUGAACGAUCAGAUUCUGAGGUUGAUGCAGAUGGUACUAAGGAUAACGAGUUACCGGGACAAAUGUUGGAGUUGUACAAAGACCCUGAUCUCUCAGCUUCUUAUUCAGAAGUCUUGGAAGUACCUGGAGACGUAGCGAACGGUCAGAAUGAAGCAUCUCCUGUUAAGAUAAGAAGCCAAAUGAUCCUCAGAGCUCCUAGGUCUUCGUCCAAGGCUCCGUUUUUGGGUCCUAGAUAUACGCUCUUUCUUCGUGGCUCUAGAUUCGGAAGGCAGCCACUAGUUAUUUGCAACAAGCAGCAAUACUGUUUCUCCGGCAUUUGUGGGAAGUUCAUGAGAUCCUACAGCAUAUUCUGAGCUGUCAAUGGAUCCAGGUUGUAGAUAUCAUGAACAACGAUGAGAUGUUAUUUGUCUGAAUGUGAUCCCUGAAGUUAUAGAUACCAUUGUUGUUGUAUUGAGCCACAAAUCCUUGUUAGUUCGUUGUCAUUGACUACAGAAUUUUAUACAUAGCAAUUUAUUUCCCAAGUUUUGUACUGCUCUAUGGCAGAUACAAGCUGCAUCAAUUUUAGAAAUGCAGGAGGGACCCAACCCAAGACCAUGCUUUGAAACUUAAUUCGAUAAUAAACGAGCCAAACUUGAGCUAACCCUUACUCGGCUCGACAGGCUCACGAGUUGGCUCUGGCCAUUAACUCAUUGAACUAGGCUUGUGAGUCAACUCAUUUAUAACUCGUGGCUAGACUCGAUAUAGAUAGCUAUUGAGUCAGUUAGAUAAGUAUUUGAUUAGUUUCUCACGAGCCUAUGACUAUGAGCUCUAUAGUUUAGCUCGGAAGCUAGCUUGAUAUGAGCUUGAUUUUUAUCUUUUGAUGAGCUUGCUUAUAUAACCUCUUCAUUCUUUAACCCAUCGAGACUUAAUCACAAAUUGAGCUCGAUCGUAAUGUUUAUUAAGUCAAGCGCGUUAUGAUUAUUGAGAUUGCUUGUUAAGGUGAUUUGAAGCCAAACAUGAGCCAUAAAUUAUUUAAUUAAGUACCUUGAACUUGAAUCGAGCUGGUGCCCACCAACAAAUAAACAAGAUGAGCCCUGACUGGACAAAUAUUCAGCUUUCCUCGUCAACAACCCUAACUAUUUCAUUAGUAUUUGUGCUUACUGUGCUAAUUUGAGUAAGCUUUCAUUGUCAACCAUAGACGGAAAAAUAGGAUUGAAUUGGAUAGAAAACUAAUUUGUUGCUAAGUCAAAACAUUUGUUACUCAAGUGGUACUUCUCCAACAACCAUGGCCUUUACUGUUAAUAUGAUAAAUGUUGGUGACUAACCAGGCUAAUUACCCAUCAACUCCCAAGCCCUCGUCUCCGGAGCUCCGAACCUAAUCCGUUCAGUUUCCAACACCAGCGGAGCUCAGAGCUCCUCCCAAGUUUUGGUUAAGUUCAAUAAUCAAUCAUGAUAUCUCCAUCACAGAUUCCAAAUUUCCAGUCCACUUCCCUCUUCUCUAAACCCUUACUAAUCCCCCAUUCCCACUCCUUUCCUCGCUUCUCGAUCUCGCUUUCGAAUCCCACCCACGACAUCAAGUUUACCGUUAAAGAUGGCAGCCUACGUCAAAAAAAGUCAACGGUGGUGGUGGCCGGAGCUAGCAACAGCGACGACGGCGGUGGAGGUGGUGACGAUGGAGGCGACGGCGAGCUGGAGAAAAGGAGCGGAGUUUUACCGGAGUGGUUGAACUUCUCUCUAGACGAUGCGAAGACUGUUGUCGCUGCUUUGGCGAUUUCGCUUGCUUUCAGGAACUUCAUUGCCGAACCGAGAUACAUUCCUUCUCUGUCCAUGUAUCCGACUUUCGAUGUCGGCGAUAGACUUGUUGCCGAGAAGGUGCGUUUUACGAAAAUUCCUUGCUUCUGAGUUUUGCAAUGUUCAUUGGAAGUGUAGUGGAGUCUAUGAUGAACUUGAUUGAAAUUUUUGCCCUAUCAUGUCCCGAAAUGAUUCUUCCAAUUCAUGAAAUUUGUAUUAUGUUGCUGGAAAUGUUCUGUUUGACUAUCAAUGUUCAAUUUGGAAGUGUAGUCUCCAUUCAACGAGCCAAGACGAACUGCAUUCUCUUGUUCUAACUUCUGAUCAAUAUGUUGCAGAAACCUCCUUAGCGCUGCAGCUAACAAACUUAAUUCCCACCAUAGUAGUGAUUGAAAGCUAUUGUUAUGUUUGGCAAUUGGAAUCAUAAUUCCUACGAAAGUUGAAUUGAAAUAGUACAAAAUAGUUGAGUUGAAAUUAAAAGGAAUUGAGAAAAAAAUGCUAAAGGAUAUGAAGGAUUCCUAAAAAAGAUUAUUUUCCAAUAAAAUAAAUUGAGAAACAUGAUUUCAAUUGGAAUUCUUAUUUCCUUUGAUUCAAGUUUUCAUCAACGGUAAUUUUUUAUUCCAACUCAACUUCUUUAUACUAAUCUUAACUGAACUUUCUUAAGAAUCAUGAUUUCUAUUGCGAAACAUAGCCUAUAUUCGUACAUUAAUUUUGUUUGACAUACGGAAACCUCAAAUGGAAGCUCAGCUAGUUACUGAUUGACUCAAGCGGACCAUUUUAGUAUUGUGGAAAUGUUGAUCAGGUCUUGAUGUGUCAAUGAUUGUGUUGAAACAUAGACGAUUGUAUUCACAUUGCGCACAAAACGAUUGAUUAUGCAAAAAUUUCAGGUCACGUACUACUUCAGAGAGCCUUGUACAAAUGAUAUAGUGAUAUUUAAGAGUCCUCCAGUCCUGCAGAAAGCUGGAUACACCGAUGAUGAUGUUUUCAUCAAACGGAUCGUUGCCAAAGAAGGUGAUACUGUCGAGGUCAGAUUCGUAAACAAAUGAAGCUCUUUACCUCGUCUACAUAUCAUUCAUUACCAUCUGAUAUUUGUCUUAUUGUUGGAUUGCAGGUCCGUAAUGGGAAGCUUGUAGUAAACGGAGUCGAGAGAGAUGAAAAGUUCAUCAAUGAAAAGCCAUCUUAUAACAUGAAACCUACCGUAAGUAUUUUAAAAAAUCAAGUCUUUCUUUUCUCACUCUCUUAUUGAAAUCUCUGCAUGGUUGAAUUGAUCAGUGAUCACACAAUCUAUCCCCAUACUCAUUCUGCCUGUGUUAUCCUUACUGCAGAAGGUACCGGAAGACUAUGUUUUUGUGAUGGGGGACAAUCGGAAUAACAGCUAUGAUUCACAUGUUUGGUAAAAUGUCUCUCCAAGUUAAAUCAACUUAUCGACCAAGACUGUUGCUUUCACUUUACUGAAUUAACAGAAUUGUUCUUCUUUCAGGGGUCCUCUACCAAGGAAGAACAUAAUCGGAAGAUCAGUGGUCCGGUAUUGGCCUCCUUACCGGAUCGGCGGCACAAUAUCUGAGACCAAAUGCACCGUUGAUAAACUGGAGAGCACUGCAGCCCCUGCACUCAAGUCCAACUGAUGGCCGCAUACCAUUUCUUCAGCAUCUUUUGGGGUUCCUUUUCGUGUAGUUUAUCUUUUGUAGAGUCACUCCACCAUUGUUACAGCUAACAUCGCAAAACUUUUAGGUGUUUGUUUUUAUUGGGAUAUAAAUCAUAAUCUCAGAUGAGUUUGUAUGUACAAGAGCGCUUUUUAAGCGGAAUGGGUUUGUUUGUUCUUGAAUCAAACACAAGAGCACAAGAUAUCCGCUGUGUAUGCCAUGAUUUCACCAAUUUCCCAACAACGUAGCCUUUGGAUCUCACUUGGAAAACCAAUGUCACCGGAAUCUGAACUUCUUCACCAGCCGAUCUCGUUAAGCUCGCCCCCGCACCGUAAAGUGGGACUUUCAUCCCGUUGACGUUGACCGAGACUGCUCGGUGGCUCUUCCUCGGUUGGUAAUAGGACCUCAGCUGCACCAAAACAGCAAUAACACUGUAAAUUGACGAAAAUCAAACACACAGUAGCAGUAAGCAAAUGUCGAAAAAGUGAGUAUUUUUUUCUUUACCUGGCCGGUUGCUACGAUGAGCUCAGAGAACAUGAGAUUAAGAGGAGUAGAGGUGAUUCUGAUUCCGAAGAAAGAAGCUGGGUUGUAUACCUUGAUCCCCACGGAACAGUUCGUGGUGAGCAUCUUUGUGGGAACACCAGUCAAGUCUGAUCCUUGUCCGAAGUAGAAGUUGUGAACUGUCAAGCUCUGCAUUACCCAAAAAUAAAUUCACCAACCAGGUGGUUAGACCAACGUUUCAUCAUGGUUCAUGGUUAAAAUCGAUUAGUAGGUUAGCUUAGAAUAAUUUAGUAGGCUAAGCGGUCUCAAAUCUUUUAACCGAAAAAAUUUUAAUCGAUUCUUUUCAUAUUAUACUUACUUUAACCAAAAUUGAUUAUAACUAGCCUAAUUUGGUAAGUUAAUUGGUGGUUAAUUUACCGAUCAUCACCAUAUUAUUUGACGAAUCGGCUAACUCAAAAGGUUGUAAAGUGUACACAACCAUUUUUACUUUCCGAUUCGGGAUAACGCAACAAGCUCCCCUUCACAAAUUGGAACAUUGGUAGGCCAUAGUCAUACACGUUUACUAGAUUUGACCAGAUCAUCAUAAAUCACUCAAUAAGCAUUACCCAUCUACUGAUUUUAACCGGAUAUCAGGGGAGUUUUGUCAACCUAUACUCAACCUAAUUUUUUAUACAAUCUUAAUUAACCCAUCGAAUAUGGUCGAUUAUUAACUACUCGGACUGAAUUGGCUACCGGGUCAACCAUUCUCGAAAAACCAACAUUUCAUUUUACAUUUUACCUUGACGAGGAUGUGGGGCCGGAAAGGACGGCUAGCACCCCAGAUGACGAAACAGAAGGCAGUGAAAACGGCGGCGAAACCCAUCACUACCAGCAAAAGCCGACACUUGGUGGGGUCGACAGCCGCAGCGACAAAAUCGGCUUCCUCGAGGAUGACAUGGCAGUGUCCUGACCCUCCGGCGGAGCGUUUGGGGGGUAAAAGUUUUUUAUUACGUCCGGAGCAGGAGGAGGCUGCAGAAGAAGCGAGGGCGUAGGUGCCGGAGACGCGGCUGGAGGCGCGUGAGUAGUAAUUAGGAUGGGAAGGGGAGUCGAUGGGGGUUGUGUUGGGGAGAGAAGAAGAGGAAACGGCGGAUUUGUCGCCGUCGUCAUGGGAGUCACGGGAGGGGCUCUGGACGAAGUAGAUGACCGGGCGCUUUGGGGAGCGAGGGGAGGACGGAGCUAGGCUUGUCAGGUCCGACUCCGACGAUUUGGCGUUGUACAUGAUUGUGUUUGGGUUUAAAGACAAGACAAGACAGGAAUUAGUGAACGGAGGGUUUUGUUGGUUUUGUAAGUUGUGAAACGGAAUUGGUGGGAGUGAUGAGUGGAGGUAAAUGUGACGAAAGAUGAGGAGAAUGAAACGGACAGUAGACACUUGGCCAUGGAAGUCUGUAUAUAGAAGAAUAUCAUCCAUUUUUUGUCCAAAAACAUUCCUUCAUACAAUACAACUAGCUAGCUGUCAUCCGGUAUUCAUUCUUCGAUCUUGGUUGGUUUUUGAGAAAGUUGCAUGGUUCGAGACUGCAAUCAAUGAACAAAUUAAAUGGUUUUAAUUUAAUGUAAUUCAAUAAGUCGGUUUCAUACUUUCAUUUCAUCCACUCUUAUUCUUACAAUCCACAGUAAAUAAUUUUCCCAGCCCCUAGAUUUAUUGAGAUGAAUUAAUUUUGCACGAUACCAAACAGUAUUUAGAACAAACCAGUAAAAUGCACUAGGGGAAUUUAAUACCCAGAGCCGGAAGAACUCCAGAAGCACCCAGGGGGAUGCAGGGGGAGCUUUCUAGCCCUGUCCUAGAACCUCAUCGACGCUUAUGAGCUACUUUAACUGCACUAUAUCCCAUGAUAUCAUUAAUUUAAUUAAAUCUUUUCCUUGUGCCCCUUAUAUAAAUAUGCUUAUCAGAAACAUAUACAAACCCCAAGGAAAUUAAGAUAGUUGCCAAAGCAAAUUGAUCGAACUCAAUCCUUGUGAAAUUAUAAUGGCUCUGCAGGCACGAUUGGGGUUAAUAAGGAAUUUCACCAAACGUGCGUGGUCAUGUGCCGCUGCUGGCCGCAGCACUACACCAACGCCUCCAUCGAUUACCGCCGGUGAUUGGAAGUACCACCACUGGAGUACUAACAGUAGACGUUAUGAUGAGGAUCAGUUAAUAAAGAACAGCUGGUCGUCGAAGAGGUUUAUGGCAAACACCGCAGCUGGCGAGACGUCAGAUGGGAAACAGGUCGCUGUGGAGACCACAACCACCGACGACCAAGGCCGGCGCAGAGGCAAGAGAAGGCCCCCCGCUUUCUGGAGGGGAAAUGGCGGGGAGUUCAUUCCGGCCCUUCAAGGUAUUAUUGGCUAUUAGUACCUUCCAAUCAUUUCGUAGUUGAUAAUUUAGACUUUUAAUUUGAUUUUUCCGUGGCAGAAUUAUUUCCGUCGUCGGGGUUGGGCAACGCGCUGCUUCAAGCGACGGAGAACAUAAACAGACUGUUUCAGAAUCUGAACGUGUCGCCGUCCAAAUUCAUCGGCCGGAUCAAGGAGAAAGACGAGUGCUACAAGCUCCGUUACGAGGUGCCAGGGCUAUCCAAGGAAGACCUCAAGAUCACUAUACAUGACGGCCUUUUAACGAUCAAGGGCGAACACAAGGAGGAAGCACAAGGUGAUGGAGAGGAUGAAUCGGACGACGAGUUUUGGUCGGCCAGAAGCUACGGGUUUUACCAUACCACCGUUCAGCUGCCGGAAGACGCCAAAUCGGAUGAUAUCAUGGCGGAGUUGAAAGAUGGACUUCUUCAUAUAACAAUUCCCAGGACUGAGAAGCCCAAAGAUGCUGUUAAGGAGGUCCAAAUCCAUUAGCUAUAUAUAUAGCCACAGUUACCACGUCGAUGGUUAACUGUUUAUUGUGUUGAAUAAAUCGACUUUAAUAUGUGUUAUUUACUUUUAUAUGAAAUUUUAUUCGAUUAUCUUUGUUGUACUCGAUAAUUAUUUAUAUCGAUAAUGUUUAAGUUAGUGACGCUGAGAGUUGUGGAGGAAUAAAACGGUAGCAAGAUGAGAUUAAGAAUGUUCACCAACAAUUCAUGCUACACACCCAAACCACUAGCUGUCCUAGGUACUAUUUGAAUAACCCAUCACGGUUGGAUAGAAAUUAACAUUAUAAGGUAAUGUUGGGUUUACUUAAAACAUGGAAAAACAAAUAUACCCUUCAAAUAAUCCUAAUCCCAAACCCUAUCAUGAUAUCAUUCUAUCCAUUCUUCUUAUCUGUAGAAAAUUUCUACGGCCGCCUCUUCUCUCAUUCAUACGUAUCAUCCUUUCUUCUCUCAUCCAAUCCGUCCCGACAGAAAGCCGAUCAACAGACCUCCAUGGAGCUGAUUUGGGAGCCCAGCGAUUUUCGAAGACUGGCAGAGUUGGAUGGCAUUUUUUCACCACGGAAAACAAGGAUUCAAUUUUCACCAUCAGAUUUCACGAAAUCCUGCCUAUUUGACAGCACGAUAAACGCACUGCUUGAUUUCACCCUAACUUCCCUUACGUCAAUCGCAGUAAAUUGGAUAGCAUGCACUUGAGUGAUCGACAAUACAUCAGUUAACAAUAUCCAUCUGUUAACAAUUUACAAAUACAACCCUUUAAAAUGCAAAUAACUCCCAUUACAUCAAAUCCAGAGGAAACAUCUACAAUUAAACUAAGUAACUAUCCACAGAUACAAUAUCCCUUGGCGGCUUGGGUUGUGCUCAUUGCGUGGGGCAAACACCUAAAGGCGAGUAAAACAGCCAAACUCUCGACAUCAUGGGCUGAAAAAUCACAAGCCUUCAAUUGGAAGCUCCCAGUUACAGUUCUACAUUCGCAAAACAAGAUCAGAAAAUAAGAAUGGUGCACGGCCAUCAGAAGAGACACAUUUGGGUGGGAUUUCUUUCUCAUUCGUUCCAUGGAAAUGGAACUCAAAGCCCUUGCGCAAAUAUUAUCCCGAGAUCAUCAUAUGGCAAGCUGAAAUUCUACAAUCAAAAUCAAAUAUUUAAAUGUUAUGCCCGCUAGCACGUUAUUAUUUAUGAAGAUACAUAUGAUUACUUUUGUAGAAUGCAUUGUUCUAGUACACUUACAAGCUUGAAUUUUCUAUUUGAACUCUCAUUUAGUUAGGAGAUACAAGUAACAAAAUGGAAAAGUAUUCACAUUUACAAGUCUUAUGCCUACUGCAAUACUUCCGUAUAAAUGAAGGUAUUAGACCCUAGGGGUACCUGAUACCAGUGGCAAGGAUACACAACUACUUGGCUAACACCUUGGCAGUCCAACAAGGCGCCAAAUUGUUGAUCCCAAGAACCGUUGGGGUCUAAGCGGCAGUCAAGAAGUUAGUAUAUGUAUAUCCAUACCCCGGAUACGAGAGUAAUUGGCUUGAAAUUCUUCAUUAGCCGAAUCAGAGUAGAUUAGACGAGGGCACAAGCAAGGCAGUCCCACUCCCAAUGCAUCAGCUACAUAUAAAAUUCACUUGCAAAAGAAGAGCUUUGAUUUACUUCUGGAAUAACAGAGCAGAAGAGAACAAAAUGAAGUGGUUGUUUCCACAAAGGCCUCAUAGGGAAUCCAAUUACGGUUGUCAACAUAAAAGACAUUCAGCCAUAUGCUUGUCAUUAGAGAAAUCAAUGGCCAUUCCACAACUGUAAAUUCUAAUUCACUGCAUGAAGUUAAGACCUUUGCAUAAAACCAACAAGUUUCAGAUUCACAAUGACAAAAAUUGUUUCAAGGGGUCAUCAGAUAGGAGCGAAAGACUAUUGCUAUAGAUUUAUAAUCACAGAUUAUCAUCUGAACUAUGCAUUUGAAAAUCAUCACCUGACCCCUAUUACCACACAAACAAUAUAUACAUUUUAAUCACAGGAAGCAAUUUCCUAGGAAACGUGAAAACCCAAUCAAAAGGAGCUGGAAAUCGAGAUGAAUGGCCUCAUAGAGAAGAUUAGAUCUAUCAACAUGCGUAAGUUCAGACAUAUGCUUGUCAAAUUUUAUAGUUAAAUCAUCGGCCACCAACCUCGAAAUCGUAUAUAACAUAAGCCAAAAUUGAAAUAACGGCAAGAAAAGGGAGGACUCGGAAUAUGGGUGGUGAUAUAUCAGGAUGGUCGUCAAGGCCUUUUAAAGCCGUUACGACGAACGAGACCUUUCAUGAUAGUAAUCGUCAUCGUCCAUCUCCAUUAAACUCAAACAGAGGCAUUCAAUUGUAGGAAAAAGAAACACAAAAAUUCUCCGAAAAAGGAGAUCAUUGAUCUACAAUACAAUGGGAGGAGAAAAGGGAUGGAACUGGAGAUACUGUUAAUAGAGAGUGCUUCUGCUGCUACUUAUAACAGAGAAAAGAGGAGAGGGUUGAUUUCAGGCGGCUAGGGUUUCGACUUUCUCUGAAGUUCUGGAUCUGUAGUGUUCAUCUUCUUGC
rnacentral:lncRNA from 1 species